rnacentral:lncRNA from 1 species
GGGUUUAAUGCUCUCAUGAUUCCUUUUUUUUGUUUUAUUUAGAAAUUACAUAAAUUUCAUUUGCCUUAAAACAGCAAUUAUAUCUAAUUUAAUACAAUCCAAAGGGCAAUGAAAAAGUACUGCAAAAUAUAAAAAAUCACAAUACAUCCAAUUAACUGAAACAAAGCAUAGAAAAUUUUAAAAAAAUAUCCAAUAAUGAACAAAAAAAAAUUCUUAAACAUCUAACUUAAUCAGACAGGGAAAGUAUUUAACAAGGAUUUUUUUUAACUUAGGAAAAAAAAAAAAAUUGUAGUCUAAUAAUUUUCAUUAAUGAGGAAUAAUAAAAUAGUGAUAAUGGAAACGCAAGCAAGAACAUGAUAAGUUACAAUUUCACCCUUGGACCGUUUCAUUAACGCAGGCAAAAUCCAGCGAUCCUGGCUGCAAGUCACUGACACAGAUACACCAAAGUACGAAACGGUCGUGGAUCUUAAUAAACGCAGGAUUCUACACGUGGCGACAUCUUGACCGUCCAUUAAAACAAACAAUCAAACCUUCCGAUCUGAUAUUAAAGAUCUCUUCUUCAAUCAUCGAAGACCCCACUAGUCUCACCCCUCUGAUCCUUCCUCGAUCCUUCUUCUCAAAAGGGGAUUUGAGAUUUUUAUCUCUUUGUCUCUCAAUCUUCUAAGAAGAAGCUCCAUGACAAGCUCCAGUGCUCCUUCUCGCAAGGUUCUCUCUCACUUGCUCUGUUUAUUUGACUUUGGUUUUGGAAUUAGGGUUAUUGACUUUGGGAAAAUUGUGUGGUGUGUAGGCUCUGAGCAAGAUCGCGACUAACAGGCUUCAGAAAGAGCUUGUUGAAUGGCAGAUGAAUCCACCCACUGGCUUCAAACAUAAGGUCACUGAUAAUCUCCAGAGGUAAAAACAAUUGUGUUUACUUUUUUGAGAAUCAUGAAAUCUCCUGAGGACUUCGUUGAUGUGAAAAUUUCAUGGGUUUGUUGUUUGCAGAUGGGUAAUUGAAGUUAUUGGAGCUCCAGGAACUCUCUACGCCAACGAUACCUACCAGCUUCAAGUUGAUUUUCCUGAGCAUUAUCCUAUGGAAUCACCACAAGUGAGAGUUUUUUUAAAAAAGUUUUAUAUAUAUUGAGAGGCCUCUGUUCAAUGGUAGUUUAGUCAGUGUUAUGAAGAUCUCUUAACUAAUGUAUAUAUUGUGAGUUUUGAAUUUGUAAGCUGAUAUAUUUAGUUUAGUGUUUAGACCCUAAACUGCAUUUGCUUUUAAAUUAGUGCUUGAUGAUCAAUCUUGGAAUCUCUGAUAUUUCUCAAGUUUGGUCUCUGCUUUAUUGUGAUAUUAUCUUUGAUCUCUCUCUCGAGUUGACUUGAGUAUCCUUUUGUUUGCUUCAAUUUUGUACAGGUGAUUUUUCUUCAUCCAGCUCCUCUUCACCCUCACAUUUACAGCAACGGGCAUAUUUGUUUAGGUAUGUCAGUAUCCUCUGUUUUUAUGAUACUCUCUUGCCUCUUUUGGUUAUUUAUCUAUUACUUUUUGUUUCAUAAUAUGAUUUCUAAUGGUUCUACUUGCCUUCAUCUGAAGCUUGAUGGUAGAUGUCUUUGAUUAUUCGUGUUUAUUCUCCAUAGAUUUGGUUUUUGUCAUGGAAUAAGGCAUCUCAUCUCUCGCUUGUGUUUGGUAGGAACAAGAUAUAUUAAGAUAUUUGGCAAUAGUCCUAGUCAUAAACUCAACGGCCAUUUAUGAAUUAUGAUCCUCUGUGAACUAAUUUGGAGUCUUACUGAUAAUAGAUAUUUGAUUUAGAUCCAAAGGUAUUCCCAUAUCCAUAAGAUCAGUGUUGAGAAAAAUCUACAUCAUGGCUGAAAACAUUUUGAGCAUUUCUUGCAUUUUAUUAUUCGAAUUGUAAUGUACAUUUUAAACAUAGGCCAUCCCAAAGAAGAAGCUGAUGUUUGUGCAUCGAUUUGCAGAUAUUUUGUAUGAUUCGUGGUCUCCAGCCAUGACGGUGAGUUCGAUAUGCAUCAGUAUCCUCUCCAUGCUUUCAAGUUCAACUGAAAAGGUACAUACAACGCUUAGUCUUACCAUUGUGCAAGCCAUAUUCUGUCUUUCACAAAGCUGAACCUUCCUCUGGCUUGGUUGUUUUUUUUUUGUUGCAGCAACGACCACCCGACAAUGACCGCUAUGUCAAGAACUGUAAGAACGGGAGAUCUCCAAAGGAGACCCGAUGGUGGUUCCACGACGACAAAGUAUAAACAGGCUCGGUCGACCAUAAAAAUGUAAAAUAAUCCGAAACAGUGUCGAGGUUUGUUGACUAUUUUUUUUAAUUUAACCGGGUUUAAGCUGGCUGUCCCAAACCCAUUCUCCAAAAUCCGUGAUGUAGAAAAACAACACAAGAAAAGAAUUAAAAAAAAAUUGGCUAAUUUGAAUUUUCUACUCUAAUUUUUAAAGCCCUAAUAACAAAAUACCCAAACCUAAUCUCUCUGAUGCUUCUCUACUAGGUCAUAUAUAUACAUCAGGAAGAAUAUUUCUCAACUACUACUUUCCUCUGGUUUUGUUCUGUCACCAUGAAGCAGCUGACGAGGAAGAGGACGAUGGAGGAAACAAAGACAAAGAUGGGUUUUGAAAGAUUCUUUGGCCAGUAGCAAGUAUAUGUCGCGGAUCGAACUCAGCCUUGAGGCUUCUGAACCGAUCCCACUUGUCCCCAAAAUGAGCCACCCACUCUUCCUGUGUUGCGUGGUGGGGAAGGUACUGCUUCACGUUGAUCUUGGCUUGUUCGCAGAACUCCAAGAUCCGCCGGUUCUGAUCUUUCAGAUACUCUAGCUUCUGUGUCUCCUCACCGUCCUUUAAAGCUGAUCUCAACAGAGCCACCAGAUAGAAAACUUCCUCAUCGGGCGUCACGGCUGAGCUCCUCUCGUCCCAUCUGGCAAAUAACAAUCAAAUUACGACACGUCAGCAACGACAAUAUUUAUACACAAUUAAUAAAAUGAUGCGUUGGAGGGUUCGUUGAGAUCGGUUUGGUUUAGGAGAAUCCGAUCGGGACCCAUACACACCAUAAGUUCUAGGAACUUAAAGAAAAAACAAAACAAAACCCAAUCUGGACCGUCGGAUUUGGUCGCAAAACAAAACGAACAAAAGAGAAAAAGACGAGCCGAUGAGGCGUUAUUGUCAAUCUUAGCUGGUUCGAUGCACAUGUGGACAACGUUUUUCGGACAAUCCCAUGUACCACGUGUCGAGUUUUUUUUACGAUUUUGACAAACUGUUUUAUUCUUGGACCACUAAUUUAAUCCCCACACAAGUGUAAUUUUGCAUGCAUGCAAAACUCGUUCUGUUCUUUUAUUUCUAUCGAUGCAGAAAUAGUAGUAAUCAACGGUUAUGUUAAGACUUACUUGUCUUUGUUCAUUGGGUAGAUAAGGAUAGGGCCACUAGUUUUAUUUCCCAAAAUGCCCUUGAAAACGCCUUUGUCGAAGUCAGAGAUUCUUGAUUUCGGUACGAAGAGGUUGAGCCAUGGGUGUGGAACCUCCCAUAAGUUCUUGGACCGGAGCUUCAACUCGGCCUUGUGUACCCGGUCGAGAAAGUCCACAUACUGUAAAUCCGUUGUAAAUACCGAUGUCGGUAUGAAAUUCAAUUUUUUCAUCAAAAUUUCCACUUCCUGUAAGAAAUAAUUUAAAAAAAAAAAUCCACAUUUAAUAUUCUAAAUCCGGAAUAGGAAACGAAAGUUUACGUGGAAAACUAAAAAAAGAAAAGCUGUUUUGCUACUAAAGCCUACCAAAAACAAAGGAUAAGUUAAGAUUCCAGUAGAGUUGGUUUUAUUAAAGUUUAACUUAAGAGAAAAGAGGAAUCAUUAUUUGGUGAGUGGUCCAUGACCCCCAUCCACUACUUAAUUAGUAACCAUGAUUAAUUCGCUAGUGAUAAACUAAACAUCAGAAGAAGAAGAAGAAGAAAGAACAAAUAUAUAUUUUAAUGUGUGUAUUAUUAAGUUCAGGUGGAAAAGCUAGAUCUCUGUAGAUCCUCUCUGGCUUCUUCUUCAUGUCCUCUUCCAAAGUUAAAUUAUAAUAAAGUGUAUAACACAACAAAAAUACUAUGGAGACCACUUUUUAGAUCAUAUAAACUAAAUAAAUAUUCAUAAUGAUUUCCCCAAUAAUCGCAUAGCGUUAAAUCGUUCCAGAUACUCAUCAAAUAUAAAAAAGAAAAAUAUCUCUUUUGUUUUUCUAAAGUGAAUAAUGAAAGUGACCUGAUUGACGGUUUCGGAGUCGGAGUCGUGGUAGUUCUUGGUGAUCUCUAGGCAAUACAAAACGGACCCGUUUGAGCUAACGGACGAGAUCUUGACGGGGUUACGUGGAGAGAAGAAAGAGGAUCUCCAAUUGUUCACGAGACCUUCGUCCACUAUCACAAAACCUUCCACGUAAUCGAACUUUAGUUCACCAUGCAUCGAUAUUAAGUACUCUUGGUCCUCUGUAAACACCUCGAAGCUCGAAUACAAUACCCUUAUCCAUCUUACCUGUCAUCAUAAUAAAAUCAUUUUAGGGUUUUUAUUACCUUAAAGAUUAAAUAAACAUACUGGAAUCAACGGUAAAAAGGUUAAUAUACAUAUGGACCCGCCCGGGAUUUUAAAUUUCUAUUAUAUUAUAUAAGAAAAAAUUACCCUUUGGGGAGCAGGUUCGAGAGCGAUUCGUGCUCGUGUAAUAAUCCCAAGUUGACCUAACCCACCAAGAACUCCAUGGAAUAGCCUUGUGUUCUCGUCUUCUGAGCAUCUCAUCACCUCUCCUUUCCCUGUUUUUUUUCAUUACAACUUUUUGUUAUUAAAACUUCAAUCAAAACCAUUAUAUGAAAGAAGUUAAAUGUUUCUAAUACUAACCAGUUACAACGUCCAGCUCAAGGACGUUACUAAUCUGUGGACCAUGGUGAAAAGCUUGACCACUGAUUCCUGCAUUGGAUAGUGUACCUCCUACCGUAAGGUACAAGUAAUCAGUCCAGGAUUUUGGUGCUAACCCAUGCUCCAACGUUUUCAUCAACACAUCAACCCACAACUCUCCACCCCAAACGUCCACAUACAUUUCAUCCGGUCGGAUGAGUGGCUCCGGAGUCCCGAUUACGCCGUGGUUCAUCUCAACCACCACUCCGUUCCUCCCCACUGCGGCUUGUCCGUUUAUGGAAUGGCCGUGGCCUCGGGCUGAGACCGGAAACGCGGUGGCUGAACCAUAAGCUGUUCUGACGAGCCGUGCCACGUCUUCGGCCGAGGAUGGGUGAAGCACGGCUAAUGGCUCUUCCGGUGACUUCAACAUACCAAAGUCCGAAGAAACAGAGGCUAAGUCGGAAGGGUGGACGCUGAAAUAGCCGUCGACAACGAUGGCCCCGAUACGGAAGAGCUCACUCGGACCAACGGAUAUAAUCAGUUGACAUAUAGCGAACGACACAAGGAGAAAGCUUGACGUCAUUUCACGACUCAUCAUAGUAUAGUAGAGAAACAAGAAUCAAGAUCGAGGGAGGAAGAGAAUAUAUAGAAGAAAAGAAAAUAAUGUUUUUUUCAAGAUAAUGAAAGAUUUUAUAGGGAAGUGAGAAAACAUAUAUAUGGGGAGAUCCUUGGGGGUUCGUGAGAGCUAACGUAAGCCCAGAUUACGCUUUGAAGAUUUUCUGAGCAACAUGCACAGAUUCUCUCUCUCUUUUUUUCGGUUUGGGUGAAAACUUUAAUAUUCCCCUAUUAUAUAUAUAAAUAUAUAACUACGAUUGUUUAUAAUAUAUAUUAUUUUCGUACAAAAAAGAAAAAUUAACGAGUUUAUGCGGUUUAUAUGUGUGUGUCGAGAAUAUGAAGACAAGAGUUCUCUAUUUAUAGGACAAAGAGGUGUACCGGAGAAGAUCACGUCAUAUUCUUUAUUAACAAGUUCAUCUUUUAAACCAAAAAUCAAAAGAACCGUGUGAUAUCUACGUGUCACUGUUUAUAUUAUUAACUUUUUCGUUUCCUUUUUUGUUGUCACUGUUGGAAUCUCUAAACCAAAUCAACUUUUCAUUAGUAUGAUAUUGUCCGCUUUGGGCCCAUAAUUCAAGCUCUCACGCAUUUAUUGGGCUCCUUCCUAAAAGGCCUCAUACUAAUUGGAGUUGAAUUUAACUUAUAUAUUAGAAACUUCUCUUUCUAAUCUUUCGAUGUGGGAUAUUGGUUUGUAUUCCAAUAGUUACAAAAACAUUUUCAAGUUAAUUAACUAUAAUACUGUAUAAUAUGCUCACGUAAGUAUUUAAUUGUUUGAGAAAGACAUCGUAGACCGAAGACGUACGUAAACCAUUUGACUAAUUCAAAACUGGCAUAUAUGAGCUAGUGUCAAAAUGAGUUUUGGUCAUUUACCAAUUUGAUAUGGUUAUUAAAAAAUAAAACGUGUUGUAUGAGUUUUGAAACUCUAUAAUGAUUUGACUAUUGACUUAAAAGGAUUGUCUGAGAAAUGAAGAACAAAGCACUAGAGCAAAUCAAUCAGAUUGGUCUCCAGAAAACGUUUUACACGACAAGUUUCAUUUAAAUCUUGCGACGAUCAUUAACAAACAAAAAUGAAGGAGGAUGGGGGGGGAGGGAUAUGGUGGGAGAGGGCAUGGGAGGAGAUGGGAGAGACGGAACAGAAGAACGCCACGUGGGAUCAUUCACGUGGGAGAGGAUGAGGUCACACGUGUGUAGUUGAAAGGAGUAGGUUCCACAUUUUGGAUACGGUGAAUCGUAGUGGGGACCUGACCUCUCUCCUCUCCUGAGAGAUGAACUUAUUAGUUGUUCUCUCAUUCACGUGUUGGACUUUGCACUUCUUCGGUAAUGAAAUUAAUAAUUAUUACCCAAAUCUUUAUAAUUUGGAUUAUUUUUUAGGUUAUUAAAAUUAAAUAUUUAAACGAGAAGAUGAAAAAAAAAAAACAGUACUAUUUAGAAAGGGAAGAUAGAUAGAUUCUUCUUCUGCAGUACUUUGCAGUCGGUAGAUCCUCUCUUUGGCUUCCAUCGAUAAAUUUCUUUUUUUACAUUUUUUUUUGUUUUUGCAGUCUAGAAUCAGAAAUAUAUUGUUUAGUAGUACUUAUAAAAGAUAUGAUUCUGCGGAUGAUGAUUUAGUUGGUGAAGGUCAAAAAUGGUUUAACUAGACCUUGACUCCGUACGUUGUUUAUUUCUUACUUACUUAUAUAAAAAUUCGACUUCUUGAGCUUCUCUUCCUCGAGUUUUGUAGUAUAUUAUUAUUGUUUAUCAAGAGUUUGGACGUGAACUCGUGAAGUCAGUAUUAUACUUAUACGUCUUUGGAAGACUGAUAUUAGGAAUAGUUUAUAUAAUUAUAUGUUUUAUUUUGUGUUGUGAAUAGUGUGGGGGAAUCUAACGUCUAGCUAGAUUUGAUGAUAAUUUAGUUUGGUGGGUUGAUUUGGUACUAUAUAUAUAUAUAUCUUUUUUUUUUCUAUAAAAACAUAUGAACAGCUGCAAGUUGAGAUCUAUUUGAUGCCAAUCCAAACAUUAAUACCUUUGCACGAUAAUAGAGAUUGGUACAUUUUACCAAAUUUUCUCAUACUAUCUCAUUAUUGUCAACUUGCUCUCAUGUUUUCAUUUUUUUCUUUUGUUUCCUUCAGAUCGGAUUUGUGUCUUUAUUACCAGAUAUUAUAAUUGUCAAAAUCAGUUUCUUACUUCUAUAGUAGUUAUAUUGGCGUGGUUGCAUGGGUCGUAUAAAUGUGCUUAGUACAAAAAUAAAAUAUGUCCUACAACCCUAACCAAUUGGACCUAAAAAUAAUGCUUCUUAUAAACAAUGAUCGAAAUACUUGGAUAAAUCUGAUCAAUUAUUAGAAAACGAUAGUACUUAAAUAUUAGAUAUUGCCACUUGAAUAUGGAACCUACGUACAUUUUGCUGUUCUUUAAAUAUGUUUCAUAAACAAGUUUAUAUUGGCCACAUCAUAUAUAUAGUGACGAAAGAUUCACACUUGGACACUGAUGAUGAAAUUAAUUAUAUGCUUUCUUCAUAAUAUACAUAUAGUAUAUAAAUACAUACAUAUGAAACACUGAUAAGUAUACAGCAUAUUUUUUUUUUUUUUUUUGUGAAACAGAUGGUACUAUUUUCUAAUCAAGAGUCAAUUCCAGUUGUGUUUGUGAGCAAUAUCAGUAUUGAAAUUUGUGAAAAUGUAAUGAUAACGAUAUUACCAGAAGAGGACGCGUGUGGGGGCCAACAUGUUUCAAAAUGUAUGUUUUGUUUGUAAAUUAGUGAGUCGAUGAAAUAAAACAAGAGAGCUCAGCCAAUCUUUUUUUUUUUUUGUGUUUUAAAGCGCAUGAAUUGAGUUGCAACUUGUAAUUUAUGUCAAUCAGAUCAAAUUUUGUAGUUUUCAUAUAAAAGAAGACAAAGAGAUAUUUUAACUAAUAUGAUAUGGCGGACGUAAAAUAAAACGGAAGACAAAACAUAUUGGAAAUCAUUGGUAAUUUCAUGGAAAUCUUCUUUGACAUCACAUGUACGUAAUUUUAAAAAGAUUUGAGCUAAAUAUUAUAUCAUGCAUUGCAUUGUCAUUUUAAUAUUUUAAGGUAUAAAAUAUAAUAAACAACUAAAUAUUAUUUUAAAUAAUGCUAACAUAUUUCAUAUUUAGAGCCUAUCAAAAGUCUAUGAUGGUUUUGAUUAAAUGACUCGGCAUCGUUAUAGUAUUAGGACAUACCGCUUUCAUAAUAACUAAUCACAAAAAUUAUAUUAACAAUAUAUAAAAUUAUAGUAUUGCUUUUAAUUUUAUAUAUAAAUAACUUCUCAUUUUGUUAGUUUUUUUGUUAUUAAUCUUAAUAUUUUUUUAUGUUUAGAGACAUAUAUGUACUAUGUGGAACAAUAAAUAACUAUAUACUGUAUGACUUGGAAUUAUUUAUGAAUCCGUUGAUUCGAAUGGCCGUGGAUUUUACUUCACAACAAACAAUCGGUCCAAUUAUAUUUUUACUUAUUAAUAAUAUUAUCAUUAGAAAAAGUCCAAAAUAUAACACAAUAGUCAAGUUUGAUAUGACUCUGAAAUCUGAAUGUAAGUUCUUCCAAAAUGAAAAAAAAAAAGAAAAAAAAAAUAUGAAGUGACAACGGUACAGUGUGUAUGUCUGUGUGAAGGAGAACAAAAACCCCAUUCUAGAAUUUAUAAUGUUUUUAAAACAGGGUCCAUAGUUUCAUAAUAUAUUGUAUUUAUUAUUUACGAUACUUACCUUUUAGUUUUAAUCUUUAAAGUGUGGCAUACAGACAAAUUAAAGAGGACAUAUUUUUUGUUUUUUGUUUUUACUUUUGUUUUGGUUUUGUUCUCUACCCUAGCUUGUAUAACAGAGUUAUCAUGUACUAUACAGAUCCUGGUUCAUGAAUGUCACAUCUAUGUUUACAUACAGAUCGUGGUUCAUGAAUGUACUAUUCUAACGUUUUUUCACGAUCCUAUAUCAACGUUUAAAUGCAAAUUUUAUCUAAACAGUGCAUAUAUUUGCUUAGAAUAUAUAUAUGUAAUGUACUACAGCGAUAGUGGUUGUUUCGUGUAAUGGAGAAUAAAAGAGUUGAAGAACAAUUUUGAAUUCCUUACCUCAAAAGAGGAGACCGCCACAUAUUUACGUAUUUCCAUGAUAAAAUUAUAUUGAUCUUUCAUCGAUUAUGUAUGUAUAAACUAGUCUUCGAAUCGGACCAAAUCCAACACUCUUUUGUAACACAAUAUUCUCUCUUUACGCUCAAUGUCUAUUUAAAUAUUACCACUUGACCUUUUUUUUUUUUGGGUUAAAAAAACACUACAGCCUUUCGUAAUUUUUAUAUAUCUUGUUUCUUCUAUCAAAGAUAAUCUUAGUGUGUAUUUUAAUCAAAUAUGAUUUGGAAAUCACUAAACUUUUUUUUUUUUUGUCGGCGGAAAUCACUAAACUUAAAACAUGUAUUUGGUUUUAUGUUUUGCGUUUACAGUUAAUACUUAUGUUACAUAACAUUUUAAGAAGCCCAUAAAAGAACGUAUAUACAAGCUAAAAACACAUGCAUUCUUACGGUUCACAUAAAUAAUAUAUACAAAGGCAUGCAUACAUAUUGUUUUAAUGAAUUGGAGUAGAGUUGGAUGAUAAUUGAAAAAGAUGAGAGAGCGCUUGAUAAAAGAGAAAUUAAUAAAGGAGCAAUAGAAGUCGUAUUCAAGCAAGAAAAAAAUGAGUAAGGAAGGAACGGGUGGAGAUAACCUAACAAAGAGACGAUCAUGCGUUAAAACAGUGGACAUCGACCUAACAUAACACUCUUCUCUCUUUCACAUCCCUAUCCUUAUUACUUCCUAUUUAUUCUUCUUCGUCCAUUUCGUUUUUUCUUUUUUUUAAAGAAAUAAUGUAGUUCUUGGAAGUACAAAUAUAUAAUAUUCUUGCUAAUCUCUUUUUAACUAAAGACUUCGAUUAUUGGCCUUAUGAUCUUUUCCACGUCUCUUUUUUUCUUUGUGGUCUUUUUUCUUAUACCCGUCUCAUUAUUCGUUUUAAUCAUCAUUCAUCAACAGAAGAAGGCUUCAACAUUUCCGAUAGUAUCCACUUGAGUGAUGUUUAGUCACAAUCUAAUAUUCAACCCACACUUUCUCUAAUAUAAUUAAAGUUUCCUUUUACCUAAAAAUUCAUAAAAGUAUUUUUUCGUGUUCUUGUAAAUUUAAUUUUUAUACGUACUUUAAAAACCUCAUAAAAUUUCAUUCUAUAAAUUUCUAAGCAAAUAUACGGUGAUGAUGAUAAGAAACUUGUUCUCAACUCUUACGUGUUAGAUUAAAAGGAACUAUUAUAUAUUAAAAAAUGUUUUUAAAAAAAACUAUUAUAAAAAAAAAAUCAUUUUCUGAAAUGAACAAUAAGAACACUAUUAAUUACUUUAAACACUUUUGCUUUAAAGUCUAAAGACUGAUCUGCUUCGUCAAUCUUUUAUGCAACUUAUUUAAUUAUUCCUUUGGUUAAAAAUGAGAGUAUGCGUAACUUUAUCGUGGCAUUAUCGUGGGUUCCUUUUGGAGUUCGGAACCACCUUUUUCGAAUCACUCUCUCAGCCAUAUAAGUGGUUAGGAAAAUUUUGUGCAUAUAUAUUUAUUAAAUUCGUUAUAAUAUUGAAUGGACAGUAUGUUGUAAUGUCGAGUUUAAAUUGAUUAGUGGACCUUACACACAACUGUCACUUACGAGUUCUUUUGGUCAUAAACCAAACAUAUCCACCUUUCUCCAUGCAAAAAGUGUCCCAUACAUGAUUUAGUUUUAAUUACUUAAUAUAUCUGAUCAUUUUAGUCAAGAUAUUAAUCGCCAUCAGUGAAUAUAUUUUUUUCUUAGAUUACAUAGUCAAGUUAGGUUUCCUAUAAAGUAAAUGGCUUAUAAGUGUCUUAAGAGAAAAAUGGGGUCAAUUAUAUGACUCUUUCUUUUAUCUACGUGAUCGCUCUACAAUCCAUAGUAUUGUGACUAUUGUCUUGGCCUAAUAUACAAUGACAUCUUUUUAUUCAUUUCAUCACCGUGUCAAUGAAGCCAGUAUCAUAAGAUCAUCCUUCGGAUUUGAUGAAUAAAGCAUAAUUACGCCAAAUAACUGAUUACUAAACUGACCAUUGAGUAUUAACUUAUCCUGACAAAUAAUUGAAUACUAGAGUUUUUUUGUUCAAUGGUUUGUCCAAUAAACAAAAAAAAUACAGUGGAAGAAAAAUGUCCCACUAAGCCGUAUUUCAUUGAAGGUCAAAUUUUAGUGCAUUGGAAAUAUAUAAUUUAAAUUUCUUAUUUCACGACGCAAUGUACAGAUUCUGCAUAACACACGUAUAUAAAUAUCAUAUUACACUCAUAUAUAGACGAAGACAUCAAAAGAUACGUAUACAUAAGAGAUACGCAGAUAUAUAUAUAAGAUUUAAUAAGGUAUUUAAUUAUGAAAGUAAUAUAUGGGUGGAUAAUUAGUGUCACGUGAAAGAGAGAAGUGGAGAUGUUUGAGAAGUAAAAGAGAUUCGCUAAAAGACUUUUUAAAAAGUGAGAGCGACAGAGCAACUUAGUGAGAUGAGUUCCCAACACUUUUGUUUUCUCCUUUAUUUCAUGUUCAUUUUACAGCUCAACUUAUAUUUUGUCAUUGUUCUUUAUAUUUCAAAAAGACAUUUUAAUGUAAUUAAUUAGAUUCUGUAUCAUAUAUAUCUACUCUAUAUAGUCUAUAGCAUAUGCCGGAUCUACGAUGCUUUGAUUUGAUGAUUAGUGAAAUGCAGACGUUUAGGACUCGGUUACCACAGUUUAAAUUUCGGAUUCAUGCCACGUUUAUGUGUAUGUUUAUUGUACGCCUCAAGUUUGAUCCAAAUUAAACACGAGUAUACCAGUUUUUUUGGUUAUAAAACUUUUGAUCAUCACAAAACAUCAUCGCUUGGUUCUUUAAGACAUGCCCAUACCGAAUGAACCAAAUUAGGGACUUCUCAAAAUAUCACAUUUUUGCUGACUAAAAUGGGAUGGUUUCUUAAACUAGUUGUAUGAAAAUGAAUUCUUCGUAGCUAAAAAGUUUAGAACUGCUCCUAAUUCCUAAACACAAAUUCUGCUAUUUGACGAUGACUUUUAGUCCACUUGCAUCUCCAAGUUGUUAACUAAUGAAACAUUUUUAUUGUGCUCGUUUCAUCAUUUGUAAAAAAAUUUAAUUAAUAUUUGCAUAAUACAUGUUCUAGUUUUUUUUUUUUAAUAAUAAAAUAAGAAAAAAGUUUUUAAAAAUAUUAUAUUUUCGUUUGGAAACAAAGCAUUUUAGAUACUUAAUAUUUCGUUUCGAUUAUUAAAAAUACUAUAACAUAUUUAACCGUCGACACAUACUAACGCAAACAUGAACAUUUUUCCAAUUCGAUGUCGGCAUUAUAAGUUCAGAUUACCUAUUUUUCAACAUUUGAAGAUUAAGUAUAAGUUAUUUACGUUCUUUCGUACGUUAAACAUUACCUGUACGUAACUUAUAGCUCCUAAUUAUAAUACUAUUGAGUAUUGACUAUAUGGUAGACGUGAAAUGAUAAAUUUUAAAAGGGAAAGAUGGAAAAUGUAAAAUUUGAUUGGGACAUUGAAGAUACGGAGCCAAAGGGAUUUGAUUCGAGAUCUUCACUAUGUCUGCCUAAAAAUGGUUACCGUGUGCAGCCACAAGUUUCACGAUACUAUCCACAAAUAUGGCAAAAUAUAUUUUUGACCCUUUGAAGUAAUUGAAGAGACGAGACGUACCAUUUACAUCUAGUCUCAUGAUGGCUUUGAAUGGAGGUAGAAUUUUUUACAUUUUUCUAGAUUAAUUUCGUAGCGAAUAGUUGGACUAAACGAAAUGUGUAAAUAUUGGUUUACUGACAUUUCUUUGUCUCUAUCUCUUAAGAAGACUUAAUAAGUUACUCAAGUUAUAAACAAAACGAGUUAUUUUUGCAAAAAAGUCUUCUCAAUUUUUAAGCUUAUAGUUAGUAGAAUAAGGCGAAGCAGUAUAUUCCCAUGUAUAUUACUGAAAAGAACUAACCAGUUGACACUAACUAAAGGAUAGAAACAAAUAAAUAAGAAAUUUCUGGUUUUUAAAUGAAAAUAACUAGUUGACAAAAAACAUAGGGGGACUAACCUACGAUUACUCUAGCUUCUUCUAUAUUUACAACAGAAGAUCUAUAACUGUAAUGUUUAUGCCAAAAAUAUACAGCAUAUUUGGUAGUACUGGUUGUUGUUGUGUUACCAAUUACCAUCUGAGUUUAAACUUGCAUAUCUCAUGUUCUUGACAAAACAAAAAUUAUUAAGUUUGAAACUUGGUCAAUUUUCAAUGUAUAUAUGAAAACUUGUAAUUAAAAAUAUAUGUUGACAUACUUAUAUAGUUUGGUCAAUCAUAUAAAAGAACCACACGCCUUUUAAGUUCAUAGUAUAAAAAUAAUAUAGUAGUAAGAAUAAAUAUGUCUGUUACUUUUGUUUUAUGAAUGUGAAAACUGUAUAAGAUUCUCUGAAGCUUUCAUCUUGUUACGGAUAUCAAUCAUCGCGAAGGGGAUCUUGUGUUUUUCCUAUAUUAUGGCUAUGUGUUUCUAAUAGUGAUUUGUUCUUUUUGGUUUCCCCUUUUCAUUGUCGACGUGAAUUGAGUGUUUGGAGUGUACCCCAAUUGAAAGGUUUGGACCAAAGCUAAAACCCAAAGCCUCCAUCGACAUCACAUUUUGGCCAAUCAUUCUCCGAAAAUCUCCAAACUCUUAAAAAAUAAUAAUAAUAACAGUGGACUUUUAUGAUGCUUUUGUGUUGGGAUACACAUCACAUUUUUCCUUCAUCCAAAUAUUCAUUUCUAUAUCCCACCAAAAAUGAAAAAAAAAAUCUCUUUGCAUAUGUUGUGUGGUCGAAACUUAUUGCCUCAUUGGAAGUUUAAUGGUAUAAGUGAUGGGAGUAUAUAUAGUGAGCAAAAGGGUAUAUAUAUAUAGUGAGCUAUUCUGAAAGAUAAAAAAAAAUAUAACUCUAUCAUCAAAUAUUUACAAAAGAUCUUGCCUAGAAAAUAAAAACUAAAGGUCUGAAAACGUCAAACUAAUAUUAUAUAUCGUAACAAAAAAGAAAAAAAAGAAAAACAUGACAAAUGGUUUGUCCGAAGCUCUCUCUAUUACAAAAGAUAUUUUAUCAUUAUUUAGGAAAAUACAUUGAGAUGAAACCACUGAUUCGUCCUUUGACGAAAGCGAUGAUUAGUUUUGUUUCUGUAAAUAAAAAGAUGGCGAUUGAAUUGUUUGCAUAAGCAUGGUUUUGUCGCAAACAUAGACAAUAACGAUUCCAAAAGCCCACGUGCCUUGGGACUCGUCUUUAUCCUACUGUACACUUCUAUCGGUCUCCUAUAAUUAAUCUCCCCAUUGAUUCGUGGUUCUCUUUUUUUAACUUCAAUUUCUGAAACUACUUCCUUCUUCUUUUAUUCUUCUCUUUACGCAUAUGUCUUUUUCAGAUAUGUACUAUAGUCUAGUCGACGGACAGUUGACAAAUUUCACUUGGCAGCAGCAAGUGUCGAAAUAUUUUGUAAGUAUGCUUCAGCUAAUGGAACCUAUCUUCUUAUAUAUUGGGUCAUUUUGUACAAUGGGUAUAUUUAUGGGCCAUCCUUGUUCAUUUAUAUAUCUGUAUAAUCAAUUCAACUGUUUACUUUUCUUAAUUUAGUUGGGUCGGUUGAGUUGGGCCUUUCUUUAUAGGCCCUCUCACAACAUUCAUUGAAGCUACCACAAGCACAAAGCCUUCGUUAUUCAUCCAUCUUGUAACUCUUAUCGGCCGAGUGAUGAGAGUGCCGCGUCCACACAGAUGUGUUACACCGGACGAAUGAAAUUAUGAACCAUUUUGUAAUCUCCCAACUUAAACAUUAUUUUUUCCUCUGUCAAGAUGAAGACGGUAAGAGCAAAAGCGUCAUUACUUCUAUCAUUAAGCUUAAUUUUCUCUUAAUUAUGUGAUUUCGUAAUCUAAAAAGAACACGUGGCAUUACAAUAAUGUUUGUAGAUGGAUAAUAUAAAGUCUCUUACUCGUGGAAUAUUCAGAAUCACAUCCACUUCUUCUUCCUCUCCUCUCGUUUAUUAUCCACAACCCAACCCCGAAAAAAAAAACAAACAACCUAUCACUUGUUAAUACAAACAACGACAUGUCAAGUAGAGAAAAAAAAAAAAUUUCAAAUAAGGAUUUAGUUUUUUUUUUCUUUUUUCUUUUACUUACUUCGGUCUGUCUCUUCCCCUGUAAUGGCGCUUCCACACAUAGUCUCUUCACCCUCUUCAACUUCACUAUCUCCAUCACCUUCCUUCAAAUCCAAGCCACCGUAUCACUCCUCUUCCUUCAACCCUAGAUUUAUAUCUCCGUUACGGCGUUGUAAGCUCAGUUCCUCCUUCAGAUGUUCAUCUUCUUCUUUCUCCGAGAAGCAUCACAACGCGAAAUCUCCGAAAUCCGAUGACAUCGUCGAGCUACCUCUCUUCCCACUCCCACUCGUUCUCUUCCCCGGAGCUAUCCUCCCUCUCCAGAUCUUCGAGUUCCGUUACCGUAUCCUGAUGCACACUCUCCUCCAAUCCGAUCUCAAGUUCGGCAUCGUUUACUCCGACUCCGUCUCCGGAUCCGCCGCUGAAGUAGGCUGUGUAGGCGAAGUCGUGAAACACGAGCGCUUAGUUGAUGAUCGGUUCUUUUUAAUCUGCAAAGGUCAAGAACGCUUCCGUGUCACUAAUGUCGUCCGUACGAAGCCUUACCUUGUCGGAGAAGUGACGUGGCUUGAAGAUCGUCCUUCAGGUGAAGAGAAUCUUGAUUCGUUAGCGAACGAGGUCGAAGUUUUGAUGAAAGAAGUGAUUCGGUUGUCGAAUAGAUUGAACGGGAAGGCUGAGAAGGAAGUGCAAGAUCUGAGGAGAAAUCAGUUUCCGACGCCGUUCUCGUUCUUUGUCGGAAGUACGUUUGAAGGAGCUCCUAGAGAGCAGCAAGCGUUGCUUGAGCUUGAAGAUACCGCAGCUAGGUUAAAGAGAGAAAGAGAGACGUUGAGGAAUACACUUAAUUACUUGACUGCAGCUUCUGCUGUUAAAGAUGUGUUUCCUUCGUCGUCUUAAUUAGUGUGUCUUCUUUUACCAACUCUGGUACAUAAAAAAAUAUCUGAAUCUCUCUCUUUCUCUCUGUUUCUGCGUUUGCUAUAUUGAGGUUUGCCAGUAAUUGGAUAUACGAAUUUUAUAAAAAAACUGCAAAGUUCGGAAAGUGUAAUAAUUAAUUUGUUGUAAAUUAUGGUGAUUUUGGUGGGUAUUAGAUGAUGUUUUGGGAGUUUGAUGAGCUUAUAGCUGAAUUGAGUACAAAAGUGUUGCGCUUCUCUUGAGUUGAAGCCUAGAUUAGUCUGAACAAACUGGCUAUAAGUAGAAAGAGAUGUUCUCAUGUUCACUGAAUCAGAGAAUGUUUACUCUGCUACAACUCAUGUAGAGAGACUAAUAAGUGUAGUGUUGGUUGUUCUGUAUAUACCAUCAUUUACAGUAUGUUUAUUAUAUUUUUGUGACAACCUAUCUAUGAUUCUAAGCUUAUCCGUUUAUUUGCAUAUUCCUAGCAAUGGUACUUUGGUGAGUAGCAUUGUAUAUUUUUAGUGUAGAAAUCAAGUGGAAACUUACCAAUGGGUUUGAAUAAACUGCUUAAGUUAUGGAUUCCUAAGUGUUCUUGUUUGCGUGAUUAGGCACUGGAGUGGAAUCAGUUUGAUCGUCUGGUUUUCUAAGAAUAUAAAUAACCUGAUUAAUGUGUAUCUAUGCCACAGAGUGUUGUCUGGUCAUGAGAAUAUGGAGCCUAGCCCUGUAGUCCAUGGUUCACAAAAGUAGGAAGUUGAAUAAGUCUAUCAAUUGUUGUCUUAACUGUUUUACCACAAAGAAAAGGACUAGCAAAACUAUAGUAUCAAACGUCUGUUUAUAUGAAAUAAAAUUAAAGGAAAAUAAUAUCAGAUCCUUAAAAUUUAAAUACUACUUAUCGAAGACAUUGACCCAGGAAUAACAAGGUUUUAACUCAUCAAAAUCAAGAGAUUAAGCUCAGUACUCAAAGUGAAGACAUUAAGGUCAAUCUUAAAACGAAAAAAAAAAAAAAAAAUACCUUGGAAGAAUUGAAAAACAAAGAUGAUUGCUUGCAAAGGUAGGUGUAAUUAAAACCAAGUCAAGAUUAAAGUCCACUUAAAAUUAAUCAUUUGGUAUAUACACGCAAACAUCAUCCAAAACACACAAAACUAAUUAAGUACAACACGGAUUAUCUUCACAAAGACAAAUAUACAAACGUCUGCCCUGUUCCGACAUCUUUAGAUAUCAGUAACUCACGAGACAGGCUGAGCCGAUGCAGAACAAGCCACAAGGUAGCUAAACAAAUUAUGUUUACCUUGUCCAUGUAAUUGUAUGUAUGUUUUGACUUUUUGGAGCAUAUAUGUUUUACCUUUUUAGUCAUGCAUUAAUACCAUCCACAAUAUUGUAAAGUCACGUUGUGGGUUCUUUACAAUAUUUUAUACUUCGGCUACUCAUAAACCGUCAUGUCAUCGACUCUUCACCCAUUAAAAGACUCUCUAUUGAGAGUCAAUACUCUCUAAUUAAAUUAUAAAUUGAUUUAAUUUUUAUGUCAACAACAUAGAGAACCCAUGUUUAAAUCCCUGUUGUGGUUGCUCUUAGACAUUACAUCUGUAUUUAGUCUCUAUUUUUCUCCUUGCUCCUCUCCCAUAUCUAUUUUUGCCAAAAAUAAAAGAUAGUAGUUAAUAGAUUUUUGUUUGAAAAUUAAAUUGAUUUAUUUUGUUAACAAAGCUUAUAGUUUGAUUUCACACUAAUCUAUCUGAGAAAAAAACUACUUGAAAUUGAAAACUAUAAUAUAUAAUUGAAAAAGAAAUUGUUGAGAUAAUUGAAACCAGGAGCUUUGUACUCAUCAGUUGUAAAACAUAUGAGAAGAGGCCGACUUUUCACGUGUGUCUCGACCACAAAUGUUUUGUAAAGAACGAGAAGUAAAAAUUCAACUUUGUGUCUUCUCUCGAGGAACCUUCGGGGCCGUACGUUUAGUUUCGUGGACAUAUAGCCGCCACAUGACUGACUCUUUACACUCAUACAUUACUUGUAAAUUUUUAUGUUUUUCCACGUGGCAGUUAAAGUAGCUAGAGAAUGGGAUAACAUCAAGCAAAAAAGUAUUGGUGCCUUAACGUACGGGGGAGUUUAGGAAAAGAAACCUACGUCUCUUUCUUAAUCUUCUUAUUAACUGUUACGACUUAGUUAGUUAAUAUGAUUUGUUUGCCAAAAAAUUGAUAUGAUAUAGCAAGAAAGAACUUGGUGGUUCUAUUGGUUCUUAUAGUUAGUUUUUUACAUUUUUUGAGUUAGCUAUUAAAUAAUGUAACUCCAUAUUUUCAUUUGUAGCUAAUUUUAAAUCUAAGCUAGGUUUGGUAUAUAAUAAAAUAAAAAGCUUGGUGUUCAAAGCGUUCACACGACGAACCCUUAAUAGUGAUAUAUUUUUGUAUAUUUCCCCAAUCGUGGAUGACCUUAUCCAUAUCUCUCUCUCUUUUCUUUUUCGAAAUUCUCAAAUAGUCUCUCUCUGCUGGUUUACGAUCACUGUUGCCAAAAAGAGAAGGGUCUCUCGAGACAAGUGUUAGGAUUACAAACACAACACCAGCUUCCUCCUCGCGACACGACCCUCCGUCAUGUCUGCGCCAGCUAUAUCUUCUCCACGCCACGUUUCAUCACUCUGUUCCACUAUAUAUACACACCUACCCAGUAACUCCUGUCUUUGCCUUAUCACUCACAAAAAAUCUUCACACAACAUCACUUUCGAGCUGUCAACAUACAUCCGUACAUGUCCUCCAUAGAGCCAAAGGUCAUGAUGGUUGGUGCUAACAAGAAACAGCGAACUGUCCAAGCUAGUUCGAGGAAAGGCUGCAUGAGAGGUAAAGGUGGACCUGACAACGCGUCUUGCACCUACAAAGGUGUUAGACAACGCACUUGGGGAAAAUGGGUCGCUGAGAUCCGUGAGCCUAACAGAGGAGCUCGUCUUUGGCUCGGUACCUUUGACACCUCCCGGGAAGCUGCGUUGGCUUAUGACUCCGCAGCUCGUAAGCUCUAUGGUCCUGAGGCUCACCUUAACCUCCCUGAGUCCUUAAGAAGUUACCCUGAAACGGCGUCGUCUCAAGCAUCCCAGACGGCACCAAGCAGCAACACCGGUGGAAAAAGCAGCGACUCCGAGUCGCCGUGUUCAUCCAACGAGAUGUCAUUAUGUGGAAGAGUGGCAGAGGAGAUAUCAUGGGAGCAUAUAAAUGUGGAUUUGCCGGUAAUGGAUGACUCUUCUAUAUGGGAAGAAGCUACAAUAUCGUUAGGGUUUCCAUGGGUUAAUGAAGGAGAUAAUGAUAUUUCUCGGUUUGAUACUUGUAUUUCCGGUGGCUAUUCUAAUUGGGAUUCCUUUCAUUCCCCACUUUGAGGUGUCACUGAACUCUAGUUAAUUAUCAUAUACAAACUACAUAUAUAUACAAAUAUAAUCACCGUGAUGAUCUAGGUUUAUAUAUAUACACCAGCUCCAUGUAAUUAUAUAUGUGCACAUAUAUAAAUGUCGUUUGUCUGUAGUGUAAAAGCAGAUACUUACUUCACCAAGAAACAUAGAAACAAAAACGACAGUUGUUUGUCUCAAAGCUAAAUAUGUGUCAUGGGGAAAACGUGAAGUGCAAUGUAUCUGUAUAAAGAAAACGGGAUGUUUACGUUGUGUGUAACGGUCAAUGUUAAGACCACAUAUGUCUCUGUUUUCGAUGGGCUUUCAGUUUUUGACUAUAUUGUCUCGUUUGUUGUGUGUUUGCUUCUUAUAUUUUCCUUUUUCUCUUUACACCUUUACCUUCGUCUUUGUGAGAUGUCAUAUAUGUAACCCUCUGAGAAUUGUGUACCUCAUGGGCAAUGUUUAUCACAUUAUAUAAACCUGGCCCGUUUAUGGUCGGUCCAAAAUCUAUAUAUUCAGCCCAUUAUAUAUGGUCUCUACCUAAUGCCUACUACAUAUGAUUUAAAACCCCUAAUGGUUGAGAGCGAAAACCAAAUCCUGAAUCCACAUGUCGACUAAAAUGUAAAUUCUGGUUUCAUAUCUCUCUGCCAGAUAUCAAAAGAAAUAAAAAGAAAAGAUAUAUGUGUCUUCGCUUAUGUAUAUGAAGAAAUUUUGUUAAUCAAAUUGUUUAUAUUAAGAGAAAAGUAUAUGAUAUUUUUUGAUAUACUAGUAUAUGAUAUUUGAUAAGUAAGAGGAACUAUUGUGGAAUUAUUAAUUCGUUCUCUUUGAUAUAAUGCUGUUUUACCAGUCUACGUCGAACGAAAUUGUACUAUGGGACCAAAUUAAAUAUUCACGUAGAAAAACAUAGUUAUCUCGAGUCUUUUGAAUUUUGAAGACCAUGCUAAAAAUUAUGGACCUUCAGGUUCAGCUCAAAAGUCAAAAGACAAUUGGUAUAUAUUUAUAAAUGGAUUGGUCCAAAUGUAUUAUAUAAUAGUAGGUUUGAUUUAAUUUUAGAUGUGAAGUUAUAAAAUUUUGGUAUUCAACAGUUAUAUUUUAAUGUUUAAAAUGUUAUUUCAUUGGCUCCAUUCCGCUAAGUUUGUAUGCAAAGCUUUUGUGGAUAUUUAACAAGUUUGUCUGUUUUAGAUUUCUUAAAAUAUAGAGCACUUUUUUACAAUUUUGAAAGAUGAUUUACUUCAAAUUAAGAACAAAUCGUUUGAUCUUAUAAUCCUCCGAACUGAAUAUCCCGACAGUGAUAAUUUAGUAAAAAAGAUCAUUAAUGCAAAUUAUAACAUUCUAUUGAUCAUGAUCGGAAAGUAAGGAAAAGGAAAUCAUAAGAAAAAUGGCACUAAUAUAUCAACCAGAUAUUAUAAAUAGAAAAGUCCCAAUCCAAAGCUCCCCACAUAGUCUGCUUCACCACCAUCAUCAUCAUCAUCUUCAUCCUCAUGAACAAUGAUGUCUCAUCCACCAUUUUUUUUCUUUUUUCUUCCUUUCUCAAAAACCUUUCUUAGGUAAUUAAUAAUUUAAAAAAGAAGAAGAGAAAACACUAAUAAUAAAAAAAAAAAAAAAAAAGCAGACACAGCAAAAGUCAUAAAACACAACAGCAACACCAUUGCUCCCUUUUUAAUUGGGUGAUGGCAUUUGUAAUUAUUAGCUGUCCAAUUUAGUCAAACGUUGUCCGUUGACUGAUGGAGUAGUGGAGUUGUGAUGGACGACUUGAUGGAGUUGCGAGAAACAGGUGCACGUUCGAUACCAUGCUCCGCGGGUGACUGGAUCGUCGCCUUCUCGAGCGCUGCAAAUUUCCUCUCUUCGCUCUUACCGUACAAUACGAAGUAAAGCCCCGCUAUGAUCAAGACCGCUCCUAUGAUCCUGCCAUUAGAAAAACCGCCACGUGGUAAAAACUAACGUUUAUUUCUCGUUUAGGUCCUUGGAGUAAAAUUAAAUUUGAAAAUAAAACCGCUUGAUUUUAUUAUAUUCGUUUGACAUACCCGCCCAAGUAAAACUCUUCGCCUAACGCAAGUGAAGCCAUGAUCGCAACGACAAGAGUCUGAACAGGUUGGUAAACAGCAACGAAGACUGGACCCCCUCUGUCAAUACACCAAAUCUGAACCGCAAAAGCGAUUCCAGACGCUACGAUUCCCUGAGAUCAACCAAAUUCGUAAGGACUAAAUAUGCCAGUUUGAAACUUCAGGGGUAAAAACAAAAUAUUUGUAAUUUAGAUAGAUUGAAGAAACGAACGGCAUAGAGGAUGGUGAAAAGCUCCCAACCGGAGUGGAAAACCCAAGCCUGUGAGUCUCUUUCCAUGAAAGCAGCAAUGAUCAAGAAUUGAAUGAUUCCGAAGAAACAUGUGUAAGACGUAACCGAGAGCCUCGCCGGGUAAGAUUUAAGAACCGGAGCUUGGAACACGAGCCAUCCGGACCACGAGAGACAGUGACCGAUUAGGUAGAGGCAGCCAAGUGUCCAGUUCUUGGGCGCGGCAUCUCCUAACGGCGCUAAUACGGCGGAGGCAGCGGAGUUUGUGGUGAGUAAGUGAGCGUGGAGGUGGCUGGUGGGAGUGUAGAUGGUUGGACCAUUGUAGAGAGUGAUGACGGAAGCUCCGGCGACGCAGAGAGCUGUUCCUAAGACUUUGGAGAUACCGUCUCUUCUGUUUAGUCGUACUUUCUCAAUCCUGUACACAUGAACAGUUUGUUACUACUAUGGUUAUCACUUAUCACUAUUUUGUUUGUAAUUAAAUUAAUAUGUCAUUUAAUGUUUGUCUACGUAUAAAUAUUAUCUACAUAUGGUAUGUUGACAAGUCAGAUGAACAUUAUUAAAGUGAGAUAUCCUAUCUGUAUCAUAAGAUUUAAAUAUUAUUAUUAUUAUUAUUUGGAUUCGAGUUAGUAUUUAAAAUAGAGUAAUAAAAAGAGAGAUCAUGGAGAUGGAAUUAAUCAAAAUUACCUGAGAAGAGCAGCCAUGAGAAAGGUAAUGGCGGGAACAGAGUUUUGCAUGGAAGACGCAAAUGUUGGUGAAGUGUUUUCGAGUCCCAACAAGUAAAACCCUUGGUUCGCUGUUAUUCUGUCGUGUAAUAGUUCAUUAUUAACAAAGUCUAUUAAUAACUAAUCCAGUUUUGUUAUUGAAAAGAAGAUCAGAGUGAAGGAUAUUAAUUUAUAUAUCUAUCUUUGUAUACCCGAUGAGUGCCAAAAAGAAGAACUGGAUGAGAAAGUUGAGAGUAAUCGCUGGUCUCUCCUUCCUAAAUAACACAAUUUAAGUAUGGUAAUUAAAUUACUAACAACUGAACUAAGAAAGAAAAAAAUAGGGUUUGUAAUAACUAAAGAAGAAGUGAAAAAAAUAUAUAAAAGGUUACUUUUCGAGGAAGUAAGCGAAGGGAAGGAGAAGAAGCAAGGCGAUGAUGUUACGAUAAACAGGGAAGACGAGUUUACUGAUGCCCAUGUUGAGAGCAGCUCGAGACACCACGUGGAACCCGGCGUAACCGAAUUGCAAAGUUAGCAUAGCUAUGUGAAGCUGAAGCUUCUCCGGGACUCCCCAUAUCGAUCUCCGGUUAUCGUUGUUAUCCGCCAUUGGAUACGAACUGAGACAACGGAGAAGGAGAGAAUGAUCACUGUGUUUUGAUAUCUGUGUGUGUGUUGAUUGAGGAAAAAGAGUGGAGAUGAGGAGAUAUAAAUAUAGGUAGAUAGCUAUCUCAUUCUCCCGUCUUUGCUUGUGGGGAACCACCAAGCUUGAGAUUUCUAAUAUGGUUGCUCUAUUAAACCUAAUUAUAACAAUGUGAAAAAGAAAUGUAUUGAAAAUAAUUGUAUGGAUUUAGGUACAUUUAUGUUUUUGUUGUUGUUUCCGAUCCUUUUUUAUGUACAUACAAAAUUUGUUAUUUUGGUAUAAUGGCAACAUCCCACUCCUUGAUUAUGAAUUAUGACAUGGAUUUGGGAAAAAUUAAAAUUUUGAUUUAUAUUAUUAUUUGCUAUUGGUUAUAUAUCGUUAAGUGUGAUAAAAUAGGUUAAUUUUCGUUAUUCUGUGUUUUACUAUAUAUUAUUGUAUCCAUUAUAAUUUGGCCGAAAAAACACAUUUCAGGAAAAUUCUUUAAAAAAGAAACAACUUUAAUAGUUUGACCUAAUUUAUGUAAGUAAAACUGUUGAGAUGUUAAAGUAAAACAAUCGUGUUUUUGGACAUCUAGAUUUAAGAAACCUCAAGAAUUGAAAAAUUAUCGUGCACUAUUUGGCAUAGCCUUCAAUUUUGGUUUUGGAAAUAUAUAUAGUCCGGUCAAACUUAUAAUGCCAACAUCAUCACAAAUUCACAGUUACCGUUUUCAGUUUGUCAAACCCUUUUUUUUGUAAAUAUAAUUUGAAGAAAAUUCGGCGGUUCCAAAUUCUAAACCGUUCAUAAAGUGGCAACGUCUCACUUUAUAAGUUACAUAUGCACUUUGUAAAGAAAAAUAUGGUCUGAAAUCACAAAUUUUGAAGACAUUUCAACAAAUAACAAACAUAUAUGCCAAAGUUUUAGAUGUUAUGUUUAACAUUUUUGUUUCGUAAAAUGCUGAAUUGGUAAGUUACUCAUAUGCGUCCUCAAAUGUCUAAAACAGCCAACCUUAAUUGUAAAACAAAUCUAAUCACCCACUAAAUGUUAGUAUAAAAAACAAACUAAAUUGAUUUUAAACUCGAGGAAAACGACCAUAUAUAAUGAAGCUGUUAAUUAAUGUAAAGUUGAUUAAAUUAAAACUAAAUCAAAGGCCCCGCAAUAAUAUAUAUUUAACAGUGUACGUACUAUUGUUUUACAUAGAAAAAUAAAAAGAAGAGAGCUUAAAAUUUGUGUAAAGGGCAAAGGCUGUCUCCCACAUUCUUUUUUCUUAUGCUGUUUUAGCUGACAUGACAACCCUCACGCCACUACUCAUUAACCCAACCAUCAUCAUUAUGGUUUCUUAAUUUUUUCUUCCAUUUAUCUAAAUAUCAUUUCAAUCUGAAGAAGAAUAAAAAAUGGCACUACUACCAUAAUAAGUUAGAUAGAAAUUAAAAAGCAUGCACAAAAUAUAUAUAUAUUUAUAUGAUCAUUAUUUACACUGUAUUUUACCUCAAUAUGAUGAACUCACUAUAUCUUUAGACAUUAUAAUGGUUUUAGUUUGUCCUUUCCUUUUGAUAUUUAUUUGGGAAGCAGCAUGGCAUUGCCACUAAUUAUUACUUGUACAGUAGUCUCCAGGAGAUUUAACAAUCUUAUAACAGUACUCCUAAAUUCCCUUUUAAUGUUUUUUUUUUUACUUUUCUUUUAUUGUAAAAUAUUUUUCUAAGAAAAUACUUAUAUAUAUAUAUUAUGAUAAAGAAUUAAUUUUUGUAGGGACGAUCCCCACGCGCACUAGCGAAUCGUGAGACCCACAGUACCUCUUAUUUCGCAGGCACACCCACACGAUCAAUAUUUAUGUACACGCUUACACACCAAUAUUAUUAUCUGUAUUUGUCCUCAAUUAUUUUUUUCUUUACUUCUAUUUCCCUUUGUGCUCUCGAUAUAUCUAGCCAUCUAGGUGUGUGUGUGUGUAUUACUUUACUAGUAUUAAUUUCUAAACUCCAAAUACAUUUUGUAUCCAUAUAGAAUAGAAUCAUCGAAAAUUCGGAUGGUUGCUUUGUAUGUUUUCAUUUUUCUCUUUCUUUUUUGUUUUGUUAUCUUUGGUUUGGAGAGAUCGACAAUGUAUACACGUACACAGAGACACUGUUUAGUAAAGUGUGUUCAGAAACAUGUGCACUUCCACGUGAAAUCUAACCUAAUAUGUAUUUUUUUUCCUUCCCCCUUCAACGUAUAUAUAAUUAUAUUAUGACUAAAAAAAUUGUUCGUGGAAUUUCAUUUCACAAAAACUGUUUUCGGAUGUACAAAUAUAUAACGUUCAUUUAUUUAUUAUAUUUUCCUUGUUGUAAUUGUUUAAGAACAAUAACAAAGGUAUUUACCUUAUAAUACGUAUAGUUAAAUAUAUAUAUAUAUAUAUAUAUAUAUAUAUAUAUAUACAUUAACGUUACGUUUGAUAUUAUAUACAUUAAUUGCACUAUUUUAUAAAGAUCUAUAGAAUUCUAACAUGAUCAUGAUGAACCUAAACUAAAGUUUUGUAUCCUUAUUUCUUGACAUAAAUUCCAUACAAAUCAUAAUUAAGUUGAAAAUUUCCUUGUAUACCACUAAAAGUUUUGUUCAUUUUUUUUUGUGAGCAUUUUUAGAAUUUUAGAAAUCGUCUGUACAAGAGUAAAAUUAUAAUAAAAAAAUAUUUGAUAAUAAGUAUUUGUAGUCGUAGGCUCGUAGCUUCAAACAGGUUCAAUAAAUGCAUAAAAUCAUAUCCCGUCUUUUUAAAAAAAAUUCCUAAAAAGGGGACUUGUUUUUGGGGUAGUCUAAAAAUAGCAUAUUUUCCGCUUAAUUAAUAGUAAUAUUACAACAUAUACCAAAUUUUAAACAACAACCUUUUUUAAAAAAAUUACAUACUUGUAGAAUAGAUUUUUACAAAAAAAAAAGUUGUUGAAAUCACUUUAUUUAGUUUUGAAGUAUUCUUAAGAGUUAAGAACACGUACAAAAACUGAAGAAAAUAGUAUAUAUGUGGUGAAACCCUUGGCCGUGCAAGUGGCACACGUAUUCUCAAGUCUCAACCGUAUCAAUAAUGCCAUUUGUCGGGAAGAGACCCUAUAGGCCAUCUUUAAUAUGGGGAUCUUUAAAAGAAUUCAGAUUAAAUUUUGAUUUAACUAAAUACAAAAUAAGGUUAAUUGAUAAGAUAUGUAUCUUAUAUAAAAUACAAAAUAUUGUGCUAAAAUACUUUUUUUAAUUAUAAUACUAAAUUAAUCAUAAGAUUUAUAUUUAAGAUACUUGCAAUAAUGAUGUUCUUUAGACCCUUACAUUAACUAUACGGCAAUUUUCAAAUCUAAAAUACAUAAGUUUCAAAUUUGCAAAGAGGUCUUAGCAUGAAUCUUUCUUUCAUUUAUGCAGAGUGAAGGUUUUGAUUUAGGAGAUGACAUGUAUAUAUAUGGUACCGAAUCAGAAGGCAUCAAUUAGUGAAGAAGAUCCCAACACAUUCUAUAUUUUCUAUCUUUUUUACCACAGUCAUUAAUAAAGCCGUCAUAAGAACAUUACUUUGGUAUAAGUUUAUAUAUGUCCAUCAUAAGAUCUAUAGCCUAGCUUCAUGAUUUAUAUAUACUAGUAUAAUUUUAGGUAGUUUUUAUAUCAUUCUCAAAUGAUGAUUCGUUGUUACCUAUGCGAAACAAUUAAGCUAGCAUUGAACUCAUAAAUAAGUGUCAAAUUUUGACUCAAAAUUGCAUAACACGAAACAUAAUAAUUUUUUUAAUAGAUGAUAGUAAGAUGAAAGUAUCUUUUGGUUUGUUUCUUAAUGAAGAAUACUAGUGUGAAAGAUCACUAAACAUCAUUUGCUAUAAAAGGACUCAUGGUAUAGACGGAAGGGUUUUCUAUUAAUUAGCAUAAUUUCCGGAACUAGUGCUUAAAAAAGUGUUAAUUAUAUACAAAUUGAUGGAAUUAAUUAGCAUUGUUCGUCUUUGUGACAGCCCGAAGAUAAACCCUUGUUUAGUUAAAAAAAAAAAGGAAGAAAACAAAUCCCUCUAUAGGUUGAAAAAGAAGAAAAUAGAAACACUUUUACUCUUUAGUAUAAAGUUUAAUGGAUCUUUAAGUCUCUCGGGUAAAGGAUGAAGAAACGGGUCGGGUAAAGGACCCAGCAAGACAGUAACGGAUCGGGUAAGGACUAAGGACCCAUCAAGCUAGACAGUAACCGGUAACGAGCAGACGAAGAAGAAGAGCGAGGGAGACCAAUCUUAGUUGGGAUAUUUAAUUGCCUUGUCUCCUUUUUUCCUCACUUUAUUUCAUUUCUUUAUCAUUUUUGCUCGCCCACGAGCGAAUCUUCUUGUCUCCGUCCUCUCUCUCUCCUCUUCUCACUCCUCUUUUGAAUUUUAGUUUUAGCAAACAAAGAUUUGUUAGCUUUUAACCUAGAUUUUUAAUUAUAAGAAUGAUAUUACUUUUAGAGAUUUUUGCGAAGAUCAAUGCAUACAUUUGGAGUCACUAUAUAUAUAUAUAUAUAGUAUGACCAAGUUAUAACUUCGAUUCUUAUUGUCUCGCUAAUUAUCUUGCAUUAGGCUGUGAUCAUCAGUCAUAAUCAACAAAAUAUAAAACGUUCCGACUGAUUGUCUGAAGAACGUAGACACGGUUCUGCAAGACUGGAACAUAUUUAAUGACUGUGUACACCGCCAUAACUGUAGUGGUUCAGUUCACAUGCAAUUCAAUGAAUUAAUGGUGUCAACUUUUAAGAUAGAUAGACUAUGCAUGUAAAGCAUUCAUCCGAUGCUUUGAUUGAUGUUUAAUACAAGAGUGUCCUUAGAUUCGUUUGUGGAUUGUGAUGAUAAGUGGAUGUCACUAAGGAGACACCUUGACGUACGACAACACUAUAAGGACGAGACAAGUAUGACCCUUCAACAUAUUAUUAUAAGACUAAUGCCACUUUACCCACUGACGUUAUUUCAAUACGUUUAUUAGUAGAAACAGCUCUCUCUCUCUCUCUCUUUUCUCUUGAUUUCGGUUCUAAGAACUAUGGGGUUUGGCGAUCUGAACGUUUCAAUCUUGGGGUAAAAAGCUAACACUACUAACUAGCGGGAAACUAUAUUAAGCAUUUUUUGUUGGAGUCUAAAGUCUAAACUGAUUUUUCAAUUUCGUUUGCAGAUGAAAAAAAUAAAGGAAAGUGACUUAAAAACAGAAAAAGGAGCCAAUUGGUUUUGUGUCAACUAAUGAGCAGAUAUAUUUGCAUCUGACGACCUAUUAUUACGUGUUGUAGCUAGACUCACAAUAAUAUACGAAAAUUAAGCAAAUUUACACGAUGAGGCCAUAAUAUUUCUACACUUUUUUUGUUUGUUACAAAUGAUUUCUCAAAAACUUAAUUUUAUUAGAAAAAUCACGAAAAACUUAUACUCAAUUAUCUUGGAAAAAAAUGUUAAUACUGUUUUGUUCAUAUUUUUUUUUUUUUUUAAAAAAUAUGUUAACGAAAAUAUUAUUUGGAAUUUUAUUUUUUAGGCAAUUAGGUGUUUCUGCAACUAUUUUGUGGGUUGGCUUUUUGCAUGCGAGGUCUUCUAUAUGUCCAAUUUGGACAGUCCAAACAUAUACUGACUUUUUAUAUUUUCUUUGUUUUUAUUCAUCUCGAUUGCUUUUGUUUGGCAUGCAUGCAUAACUUAAUUAUGAGAAAUUUCAACCCAUCCACUUAUAUAUUUUUGACAGGAAAUUUGGUGGGAUUUCUUAGUUAGAGAUAGUCCGACAUGAUUAAACUACUGAUAUAAUAUGUCAUAAUUUAAUUUCUUCUGUAUAACACCAUAUUUCCACCUUAAACAUGAUUGUUUUUGUCUCUUACUUUUCUCAAGUCACGCUUCUGUGAUCCAUAAGCUAUUUCAGUGAACACAAAACUCACCUUAAUUGAGUUCUCAUAACUUUUAAAAUCAUGAAUUUAUUUUCUAUUUCUCAACUUCUUUUUUAUGUGUUCAGGUGAACAUAUAUAGUUGUAAAAAACAUGUGCAGAACAUUUUUUUUUUUUAUAAAGAUUAACAGUUAUAGGCUUAUAGCAAACAAAGGUAAUGAAUGAACAAAACUACAAAAUACAUUUACAUGUCUUCAUUGCUAUCUUCCUCUGCUUUUAUUCUUCGUUCACUUCUGUGAUUUGGUCAAAAAAACAAAGAGAAAUUGUAAUCUUUUCAACAUUUGCAAUCACAGGCUCCAUCAAUAAAAGGAAAGAAAAAGAUUUUGCUAACAGUUAAAGUAAUAAUGAUGAUUCCUAAACUUUGCAUGCUUUUUUCACUGUUUUCGUCUCGUAAAAAAUAUAAGGGUUCCCUAUUAUAUAUGAUACGAUCUUAGCCUAUAAUUAAAAAGAUCCGAUCUAAUGAAACUUUGUUUAAAUGAUCAAAAAGGUAUAUUGUUUAUGUAAAAGUAGAUAGGGAUUCUGUAUCUUUUAAAACCAAAUUUUCUAAUCAAAUUAUAUUUCGACUUGCGCCUAAGAGACAAUGAGCAAAAACUGAAAACAAAUUUAGAAAGUGGGUGUGUUGAUCGAGUUUCAUAGUGUCUACAUACAUAUAUUAUCUCCCUCCUAUUAUAUGUAGAUUCGCUUGAGUAUCUAAAUUUAGCAUAUGCAUCUAUCUCCAUCUAAUUUCUAAAACAGUAACAACCUUGCCAUGCGCGAGUUCUAAUAUUAUGUUACAUAUAUUUGAUGAAUUUGUGUCCUAAUAUAAUAUCCAAAAAAUCCUAUAUUACAUAUGAAAGAAAAUGUGGUGUCAUUAUAUUCUUCUGAUACGUUCAACACUUACGUGAUCGAAACAUUUGAAAUGAGUAUAUACACAGUUAGAGGAGAAGUCAAAAUGCAAACAUGAUUAGUAUGUCUGCCACAAACCAAAGGUGGGAAGUACAUUACCAUUUAUAUUGUUGUCUUUUCCAUUAAUAUCCAUCAUCCCAAUCUACGACUCUAAUGUAAAACAACUUGGAAUCUUCAGAGAGGAUAUUUCGGACGCAGAUUAUAGGAGAAAAUGAGGUCGUUUACAAAUGCUCAAUCACCCUCAUGUUCAAGCAGUGGAAGACAUUGACGUCUCAGUCUCUUUGGACAAGACUUUUGUGUUCGUUAUAUGUUUACAUCCAACCAAACCGCCACAUGAUUUUGUAAUUUUGUUAUAUGUCAUUAACAAAACACUUACUUUUUAUAUUUGUCUCUUUGAAUUUAUAAUACAAAAACAAACGAUUGACAAAUUGAGAACCUUCUUUUUUCCUCUCUGCUAAAAUCUUUUUUACCUCCAUCAAUAUGACUCCGGGUUUAUAACAAUGUUACGACUAAGGCACAUAUAUAUAGGAUUGAUUUUACUGCCCCCCUGUGUCAUCUUCAGCACUUUUCUUGUACUCAGGUUUGAGCUCAUAUGUCCCUUGGUUCGAUCCUCUCUUAUUGUACACGCACAGCUCGUUCAAUAUUUCUUUCAGAAACUGCGCUGGUUGGUCCGUCUCUUGUACAAGCUGUUUCAGCGUCCAGUUAGGUUGGCCUUCAAAUAGCUUGAACAUUAUAGCUUCAAGCUCACCACGAUCUCUUCUCGUCCUCUUCACCUCGGUUUGCUUGACUGGGGCAGGUUUUUUCUUUUCCUGAUCAUUCAAACACAAACACAGACUUCUACACUGGUAAGGCUGAUAGGUGAAAGGAAAGAUGAAGACGGAAGAUUAAAGUUUUAAAUCAUUAGUUGAAGUAUCCAUCCUGAAUCGUAUUUACUUUGACGAAAGAAUGAGCAUUGAAGCUGAAUAGUUGCUUUACUACUAUUUACAAUCUUAAUGAUUACUUCAUAUUUGCAGAAUCACUGAGAAGAUAAUAGUGAGUAGCAUUUUACCUUUGAAUUGGAUGAAACUAAACCAAGCAUUCCAGGCAUGGGCCUCAUAUGUACUCCGCGGUCAUUAUCGAUAACCUAAGAGGAGUCCAUAUAUAAUUAGCUAAACAAAGAGCUAGGAGAAUUAAAGGAAAACAAAUCCCUGAAUGUGCAACUAGAUACCUGUAUCUGUCGAUUUUUAACCAUGGCUUUGCUCGUUCUCUCCCGACAAAGCCUUGCAUAUUCUUCAAUGUCUUCGCCAUAUGGCUUCAUAUCGAAUUUGUGAUCUACCAUUCCUUCAACAGCUGGAUAAACUAGAGAAGCAUGCCUAGUAUGAGAUGAAAAGCAAACGAAGAGACAAAUCUGAUGUUAUCAAUCAGACAGGUAAAACCAAAAUAGGGAAAUCACCUUGAUUGACAUCCGAAAAGGCAUUCAUGGGAACAAAGUCUUUGAACAUGUUCAAAGCGUAGCUCUUUGGCAUGUUCCCAAACUCAGCACCAUUCAUCUCCAUAGUGAACUGAUUGAAACCAGUACAAGGAAAUAAGUUGCAAGAAACAAAGAACAAAAUACAACACUAGAGAAGGAUCCUUCCCUAAGCUAGAUUUGAUAACCAAACCACAUGGGCAGUGAAAUUGGCAUGAAAAAUUAAAACUUUGAUGACACUAGAGACCACAGCCAUUGAAAUAAGUUGAAAGAGGAACAAAUAGCACUCAACAGAAGGGUCUUUCCCUAAGCUAGAUUCAAAAAUCAACCACAUGGGUAAUGAAAUUGGCAUGAAAAAAUCAAACUUUGUGACCACAACCAUCGAAAUAUGAAGGGACAACAUACAUGAACAUCCAGUUUCGUGAGAUGCCUACUCAAUCGCCUAACUAGGGUCUCACCUCAAAUACAAGAACUUGAGAAUCAAAAUGGAACAUGUAACCAAAAUAUACCUCAGGCGAAGAAGAAUUAUCUUCUAGAAGAUCAAUGCCAAGAACAACCUUCGCUAAGUCAUUAGAUUCUGGAGAAGCAGAAUAAACAGAAGAAGAAUAAGAAGAAGUCGAAGGAGCUAGCUUCCCCCACGCCUUGUUGACGACUACAGGGCACUUCAUCAACCAAAUCAGGCGAUCGGAUUUCUCCAAAUCGAGUUCAUGAGGGUUACUUCGGUCGUCUUCCAUAUCGUUACUCCAACUCUCUUCUCCAAUUCAAUCCUCUUCUCGCGGUUUCUUCUGAGCUCUGAUCUUAACUCUGUUUCGGAUUUGUGUUUAAUAUUGGUCGUUUUGACUUAACCCUAACUUAAGUCUUCUCUUACUUUGAAGCGGAGGUGAAAAACACACAGACACCCGACCCGUUUACUAAGUACCCGGACCGACUUUGGCGCUGAAAUAAUUGGGCCUUGGCCCAUAUAUUUUCGCAAAAGUCUGACCCCUAGUUUUUAAAUGGGUCUUUAGCAUAAUUUUCCGUAGAGCUAUGGUUUUCUUAGAUUCAUUUGUGAACCCUUGAAUUCAUCGUUUCUUCAAGAGGUAUACAAGAAUGGUGUUAUUUCUUGACCGAAACAAAAGAAAAAAAAAAGUAUUCGUAAACAUGACAUGAUUGAUAGGCGUAUAUGUAUGUACAUACUGCAUACAUAAAGCAUGCAUGGAUGGAUGUUGUAUGUCUUAUAUGAAUGGAUAGUGGGGAUAGUCAUACAGAUUUGUUUGGACCACAUAGUGCUGAUAAAAACACCAAGGUUGUUGACAAAAAAGGAAACAAAAUACCCAAGUUAGAAAUGGAUGACGACGAUGACAAAGAAGUAACUAUUCUCGGAAAGUUCUUAACUAAAUCUAUGAGAAACCCUAACCACUCAGUUACUACUUCAUGUACAUUGCACAAAAGGGGGACCAAUCCCUCAUCUUUAAGUAUGUAUGUAUAUAUCAUUUUGGUUUAUGGCCGCCGAAUUAGGAUUUUAUGUUUGUUUGAUAUAGUUUUAGAGUAUUAAAUAUUUACGUAUUGCCAAAAAAAAAGUUUCUAAUAACUUGGGGAAAAAACUAAAGUUGGUUGGUAAGAAAACUGUUCCUUAUCAAUUUGCGAAUUUUGUUCACAUGGUCACUAUUUUAACGACGCGUUUGAAGAUCUAUGUGGUUUUUGUAAAAGGGAGUUGAGGUAAAGAAAAGAAGAGAAACUGUCAUAUCAAUCAUAAUCGAGUUAGGUAAUAAGUAUGUAACAGAUGUUUAGUUUUCUCACUUUGACCACCGUAGACUACUCUUUACAGUUUUCACAAUGAUGUGUCGAGUCUUGGACUGUCUUCUUGAUGCUAAUUUCUUAACACAUUCAUUUCCCUUUUUUCCAACGUAAUUAAUAAACAAUUUACUCACUAAACUAUCCUUUCAAACUUUCAGGAAAGCUAUUAGUUAUUUCAAACUUAACCUACCGUAUUUUUAAUGGGCAGUUAAUGACAAUGCCAAACAUUUGACCUGUGAGGAUGACUAAGUACUUACUUACACAAUUGGAACCACAUGCACGUCAUCAGUACGUAAUAAUGCUACCAAAAAAAAAAAAAACUACGGUAUAAAAUAGUUAACAUUAGUUACAAUAAAUUGAUAACCAGAGGGCAGGUAUUUCCAAAGAAGAACCAUAUAUAGGCUAAUCCUAUGAGGCUGUACGUAGGGCUUUUGCGAAACAGAUUAAGUAAAAUAUCAGAGGAGAUGAUCAUGAUUUUUGGAUAUCAACUAUACAUUUAUUUUUUGAUCGACAGAGAAUGAAUCACAUGUCGUGAGUCAGACACUCUACAGUUUUUGAGAAACUUCCAUCUUUCUCCUCUGUCAUUUUUACUUGUCCUAAAUCAAGCAAUCUAUAACAGUACCAGCUAAUCAUUAUUAUUGUUAAUAGUACCAGUUCAUAUAUACAUAAAAACAAAUUAUUAAUUAUCAUUUCAUAAGAAUAAACAGAAAUCGUUUUCAGUUUAUUCAGAAUAUAAAGUCUCUAUCAGUCAUUUGUAAACAGACAGCAUCGACCAGUAUUUAUACUAAAAAUUAAAUCGUAGGAAAAAAUUAUUAAAUGGGGAUUAGCUACAGACGAAAUGAUAGUCACAUCCAUGCAAGUAAAAAUCAAUUAGUUAGCUAAAAAUUAUGAUAGUUCUGCAGGGAAGUAGUUUUGAUAUAAAUGCUCUAUAUUAUCAUCCGUUUACACAUUCACAUGAUACUCACAAUUUGACGUUCUCCAAAUAAUUAAACCUUAACGUCCUAAUAUGGAAUGGCACGAUAUAUAUUAUCUAAAGUAAAAACCAUACUACAGGGUCCUAUGUGAAAAUACCUACGCAAUUUUUUGGCUUCAAGCCUUCAACUAGGGAACUAUCUCAAACCAAACUAAAUUAAAAGUAAAUGCAUAAAUAUGAUUUAAUGCCGCCCAGGACCAUUAUUUUAACUAAACUUUUUCCAUAUUUUCAGAGAUGUUUUUGGUUAUAUAUUUCAAUUGAGACAGAUACACACACUUCUUCAUUUUUCUCGGUUCUCUCUCUAGGAUUCCUCCCCAGACCACCCUCUUUUGGGCUUAAGACCUUCUCUUGCAACUAGUGUGUUUCAUUAGGUUUGAAGAGAACAUAAGACCGGAAAAACUCUUUCCCCCUAGCCGAUUUACUCCUGUUUACUUGCUGUUUUAACCCUUUUAGCUUGAAUUUGAGAGGCUUCCUAGGGUUUCUGCUUAGUUCUUCUUCUGUUCUUGAGCCAAGUUUCCGUAUCUCAGAUCUGUUCGGUCCGGAGUUCUCGCUUUGUGUUCCUGUUGAGUUCUGUGGUUACUUUUUCGACUCGGUUGGUGCUAUUGGUGCCCUUUCUGGGUUUCGCAGUUCGUCAUCAUGUCUUCAGCCAUGGAUAAAGCUCUUAUGGCGAUGUCCCUACAAGAAGAAGAAGAGGUUCCCUUUGAGAUGCCAGAUCUGCCAGAGUUUAACUCCAUGGAGCGUAACUCUCUAAGCUUGAUUGGGCGUACUCUGAAUCCUCCGUGUCAGCCUAUGAAGAACCUUAUUCGUGACAUGCCUCGGAAAUGGCAGAAGCCGGGGAGGAUGAGGGGAGUAGCAUUAUCAAAUGAGAAGUUUCAAUUUAUUUUCAAUUCUGAACAUGACCUUUUGGAGGUUUUAGCAAAGGGUACUCACACCUAUAAUGAUUGGUCUCUGGCCGUUGAUCGUUGGUAUGAAGAUCCGCCGGUGAACUACUUACAGGUCAUUCCUAUCUGGGUCCAAAUUUGGAAUAUGCCUGUGAACUAUUAUACUGUGAGCGCCAUCACAGUACUGGGAGAGUUGAUUGGUGAAGUAAAGGAAGUAGCUUUUGACCCAGACAAACCGCAAGAGCAAGAGUUUGUCAGGGUUAAAGUUCUGUUUGAUGUUUCGCGUCCACUAAGAAGAUCUAAGGAAGUCAAGCUCCCUAAGGGUGGUUCCACUUGGAUCCGUUUUCAGUACGAGCGGGUUCAGAAGAGAUGUUACGAGUGCCAGAGGUUAACACAUGAGAAAGAUGUUUGUCCUAUUCUAGUGAAAAAGAGACAAGAUGAAGCUUCAGCUCGUCGUUCUGGCUCAAGUACCCCCAAGCAGCCGAAACCUGUUUUUCUUAAAGAGUCUGAUCCCUUGUUUGGUAUCCUGAAGGAAAAUCAAGUGGGGCUGGAUCCUCUAACAGGUAGACACAGGAUUGCUCCAGAGGUUUUAGAUGGAAUGAGACAAUACUUACUAGUAAACAAUAAUGAAGACUGGCAUGUCAAGGCUGAUCGAAUUCAGAAAUCAAUCAAGGAGGUAGAGAAAGAUCCCAUUGCUCAGAAAACUAUUCUGAGAAUGGAAGAGGCCCCAAUUGUCCACUUGGACAUUAAUACUGAGAAUGGUCUGGUUUUUGGAUUUGAAAAUUCUGGAGUCAAUGAUCUAAGAGAAAAACUUUCCGGGAAUGUGGUAUCUUCAUCCAAGAAUGAUGUGAGGUCAGAAACCAAUAGGAAUUGGUUAGUGGAAGAUGAGUCUCUGUAUGAGUCUGAUCCGGUGGGUUCUUUCUUAGCUUUAUCGCAGCCUUUUCAGGUUAGAGCUACGGAGUUUAGUUCUGGCUUCUAUGAAGCUGGUUCUUCCGGCUCUAAGCCUAAAAAAGCUAAGCAAAGAAAGAGGCCGCCUUCUCGGGUGAGAAAACCAAAGCCUAAAGGUGGGGCUACCCCUGUAGAGGAUAAGAUGCUGCAGUUGGAUUUGACACGAACCUUGAAGGAUAAACGAAAAGCAGAAGAUGGAGGACCAAGCACUGCAAAACUCUCAAAGCUUAACCCUCUUAAGGUGAUCCCACAUGAGGGAUCGCCCAAUGUUUAAAUGAGCAUCAUCAGUUGGAAUUGUCAAGGCUUGGGACGGUCUCAAGACUUGGUGAUUCCGUGUCUCAAGGAAUUGCGUAAAAAAACACUUCCCUGAGAUUCUGUUCUUGAUAGAGACGAUGCAGUGUAGAAAUAAUCUGUUUGAUAUUCAGUGUCUUUUGGGUUAUGACAGACUAUUCACAGUAGAUCCAGUUGGGAAAUGUGGUGGACUAGCUGUCUUUUGGAAGAGUAGUAUUCAGUUGGACAUUCUCUUUUAUGAUAAGAAUUUGAUUGAUGCUCAAGUACAGUUUGGGGCGUCCAACUUUUUCUUAUCCUUGGUUUAUGGUGAUCUGGACGGUAGUAAAAGAAAUGCGGUGUGGGAAAGACUCAGUAGAUGUGGGGCUGGAAGAAGAGACAGAUGGUGUAUGAUGGGCGAUUUUAAUGCCAUCAUACAUAAUGGUGAGAAGAUUGGAGGUCCCAGAAGAUGUGAGAACUUUUUCAAACCUUUCUCGGACAUGUUGGAUAGUUGUGGGAUGAUGGAGCUAUCUAGUAGCGGAAAUAUGUUCACAUGGGCUGGUAGAAGAGGAGAACAUUGGAUUCAAUGCAGACUUGAUAGAAGUUUUGGAAACAAGGACUGGUUUGAUUCCUUCCCGGCUUCAAAUCAAUCCUUCUUGGAUAUGCGAGGGUCGGAUCAUAGGCCAGUUUUGCUUAAACUUUUGACUUCCCAGGAUGCUUAUAGGGGUCAGUUUCGGUUUGAUAAAAGGUUUCUUCGAAAACCAGAUGUCAAGAUGGCUAUUCUAAGGGCUUGGAAACCAGGAAUCAUUGCUGGGGGGUUCAGGGUUUCUCAAAGACUUAGAGAUUGCAGGAAAGCCUUAAGUUCUUGGAAGAAAAAGAAUCAGAUGAACUCAAGAGAUAAAAUUAAACAAUUCGAAAUAGUCCUGGAGAGAAUUCAAUCUGAAAGAUGGCCUAACUUGCAACAGAUCCGAGUCCUAAAGAGAGAAUUGGCAAAGGCCUACAGAGAAGAAGAAGAGUAUUGGAGCCAGAGAAGCCGGAAAAAAUGGCUUAGAGUUGGAAACAGAAACUCGAAGUUCUUCCAUGGCUCUGUUAAAGGGAAUAGAAGUAGAAAAAGGAUUGAGCAUCUCCGUGGGACUGAUGGGAUGUUGAGAAAAUCCGAGGCAGCCAAGGGCCAGGUAGCAGUUGACUACUUUGAAAAGCUUUUUAAAUAUUCAAACCCUCAAAGUUUUCAACACUGGUUCUCUGAAUUUCCUGCUUUAAUAUCUGGGGAAAUGAACUCAAGACUUAUUGAGAGAGUCACAGCUGAGGAAGUUAAAGAUGCAGUGUUUGCUAUCCAGGGAUCUAGUGCUCCUGGACCUGAUGGAAUGACGGCUCUUUUCUUCCAAAACUACUGGAGUGUAGUAGGUCUUCAAGUAACUAAAGAGAUACAAGAUUUCUUUGAAGGAGGAAUUUUUCCAGCCGAGUGGAACUACACCCAUCUAUGCCUUUUGCCUAAAACUCAUCAUCCCAUGGAGAUGGGUGAUCUGCGGCCUAUAAGUCUUUGCUCAGUCCUUUACAAGGUCAUUUCAAAGAUCUUAGUGAACAUGCUUCAAGUGUUGCUUCCUCAGAUUGUUUCUAUUAAUCAGACAGCCUUUGUCUCUGAGAGGUUGAUCUCUGAUAAUAUUCUGGUGGCACAUGAGGCUGUUCACAAUUUGAAAUCCCAUCCGGAUAUCUCUGCUCAGUUUAUGGCGGUUAAGACUGACAUGUCCAAAGCUUACGAUAGAGUUGAAUGGUGUUAUCUCAGAGCCUUACUCAUUGCAAUGGGAUUUCAUUUAAGAUGGGUGGAGUGGAUUAUGGCUUGUAUUAGCACAGUUACCUUCUCGGUGUUAAUUAAUGAUCAGCCCUAUGGAAUGAUUACACCACAGAGAGGACUAAGACAAGGAGAUCCCUUAUCCCCUUUUCUCUUUGUCUUAUGCACUGAAGGUCUCACUCAUCUGCUGAACAAGGGACAGGCUGAAGGAAAGAUCAAUGGUAUCACUUUUUCUGAAAAUGGUCCUGAAGUACAUCAUCUUUUGUUUGCGGACGACAGUUUGUUUAUGUGCAAAGUGACUUUGGAUCAGUGUUGUUUCCUUCAAGAAACCUUGGUCAAAUAUGGGAAAGCUACUGGGCAAACGGUUAAUCUCAAUAAAUCUUCCAUCACUUUUGGGUCAAGGGUAACUAAUCUGAUAAAAACCGAGAUUCAGAAGAAGAUGGGGAUUACAAAAGAGGGUGGAGCUGGUACUUAUCUUGGUAUGCCAGAAUGCUUUUCUGGUUCUAAAGUGGAUCUUCUGAGCUAUAUCAAGGAUAGAGUGAAAGCUAAAACUUCUGGUUGGUUUAACAAAUUCCUUUCUCAGGGUGGGAAAGAGGUGCUCCUUAAAUCAGUGGCCUUGGCUAUGCCGGUUUUUGUCAUGUCUUGUUUCAAGAUGCCAAAAACUACUUGUGAUACUCUAGCUAGUGUGAUGGCUCAGUUCUGGUGGAACAAUGCUGAGCAUUCUAGAAAGAUUCAUUGGCAAAGUUGGGAAAAACUUUGUUUGCCGAAAGAUGAAGGAGGAAUGGGUUUUCGUGAUAUCCAAACCUUCAACCAGGCGUUGUUAGCUAAGCAAGCGUGGAGAAUUCUACAAUAUCCGGGAUGUCUAUUUGCUAAAGUCAUUAAAAGCAGAUACUUUCCUUUCUCUGAUUUCUUGAAUGCUACACUGGGAGUUAGACCAUCUUUUGGUUGGAGGAGUAUAUUGCAUGGAAGAGAUCUUUUGAUCCAAGGUCUAACAAAGAACAUAGGGAAUGGCAAAUCUUUCAAGGUCUGGAUUGAUCAUUGGGUGGAUGAGGGGAUGAGAGCUCCCUACAGGAGAAAUAAUUUUUUCAAUCCAGAUCUUAGGAUCUAUGAAUUGUUAGAUUCUGAGACAAGAGAUUGGAAUCAUGAAGCCCUGGAAUUCCAUUUCUUGCCUCAAGACAUCAUCAGAAUAAAAAAGCUAAGGCCGGUAAUUGAUCUUGAGGACUUUUACACUUGGAAAUUUGACAAGAGUGGGGAUUUUUCGGUUAAGUCUGCUUACUGGUUAGCCUCUCUCUCAGCAAACCAGCCAACCAGAAUUGAGGCGAAUAUUCAACCUUCCACUAAUAUCUUAAAGGCUCAGGUUUGAGACUUGCAAACUGACCCUAAGAUUAAAGUUUUUCUUUGGAAAGCUCUUAGUGGAGCUCUCCCGGUGGCUUUGGCGCUUAACAAGAGAGGAAUGAGUAUGGAUAUUACUUGUCAGAUCUGCGGUGUUGAGGAUGAAUCAGUAAACCAUGUCUUUUUUACGUGUUCUUUAGCAAGGCAAAUCUGGGCUCUCUCAGGGAUUCCCUCCCCAGAAGCAGGCUUUUAAAGUGGCUCAGUUUAUUCUAAUAUUCAUUAUCUUCUCUUGAAUAUCAAGAACAAACGGUGGCCUGAAGAGCUAAGGAAAUCUUUCCCCUGGAUUCUAUGGAGAGUUUGGAAGAAUAGAAAUCAAAUCUCCUUUGAAGCUAGGUGUUUUUCCCCCUUAGAGAUUGCCAAUAAAAGCAAUGAGGACUGGAAAGAAUGGUGUGAUGCACAGAAAAUGGAGGAGGAGGAUGAGCAGGAUGGGGGUAAUGUAGAGAUUGUCGCUGCUCAGUCCAGGGAAGUAAGAGGCGACCGGACUAGACGAGUUUGGAGCCCUCCACCUCUUGGCUGGGUAAAAUGCAACAUAGGAGUAUCUUGGUCCAGUAGGAAUGGCUUGGCCGGGGUAGCUUGGGUUCUAAGAGAUGCAAGUGGGGAGGUUUUGCUUCACAGUAGGAGAGCUCUGAAUAAUGUAUCAGACAGGUUUGAUGCUCACUUCAAAGGACUGUUGUGGGCCAUCGAUAGCAUGAAAAGUCACAGAGUCCAAAGGGUGAUCUUUGGGUUGCAAGAGGAGAGGUUAGUGAAGCUUGUCACUAGACCGGUGGAGUGGCCUUCGUUUCGAUAUCAAUCAAUGGAGGUUCUUCGUUUUAAAAGUUCUUUUAAUGGGUGGAAAUUCUUUUUGGAAAACUCUCUUUCAAACAGAGGUGCCUUUCUUGUUGCGCAAAGUGUCACUAGUGAUUGUCGUCUACAGUCUUAUGUGGCGUCGGGGCAUCCACGAUGGCUUGAUUCUCUCUUUGCUGAGGAAAGUGUUAAUGUCUCUGAUUGAAGGAGAGUUUUUGGGGUAAAGAUAGCUAGUCUUAGAGCUCUUUGCAUAUGCCAGUUCACGUUUGAAUUUAGGGCGUAAGUAGGGUAGGAGAUUUUUUGGAGUUAGUCAUAUAUAUGGCUUCUAACUACUGACUUUGUGUCAUGUAUGUGUUGUAUGGUACGUUUAUCUUCUCUUAUCAAUAUAAUACCAGUUGACAAAAAAAAAAAAAAAAAAAUUCAAUUGAGAAUUUCUUUUAAUUACAUCUUUUACUCUGGAGAAGUUUGCUUAAAAUAUGUUUAUUUUUCAAAUCUAUGAAGUAUGAUCGGUGGAACACGAAACCUAGUUAAGUCAUGUUUAGAUCCGGCAAGCAAACGGAUAAACGGGAAAAAAGCAGCUUGGAGCUCAACACCAACCAGAAAGCUAAUUCAGUAUCAAACCCAAAUAUAUGUUUAUUAAUUGUUUUUCUAAUAGAGAAAAUAAAGAUUUUUUUCAAUUGACCUUGAAAAGAUACUGUAUAUAUGACGUAGAUCAAUGAAAAGAGGGGUUAAUUAUUACUUAAUAUCAUAAUAGUCCAACGAAACCACAUUUUAAUUGCAACAAUCCUAUAUAAUAUUGAACAUUAAAAAAAAGUUUGUUGAAACUAUAGAUCGAAUAACCACAAGAGGAAACUGAGAAAGUGCAAUAAGUACCAAACAAUAAAGGAAAAAAGAUCAAACUUUGAAAUUAGAACAUUAAUUUAACCCCUCAUGGAUCGUUUUUUUCUUAAAACGUACGUACAAUGUGCAUGUUAAUCACCACCAAGUAACAACCUAGCUAAGGGUGUUUUAUCAAAUUGCACGAGAUUUCAAAAAGACAAAGACGAGUACAAAAGACAACAACAACAAAAAGAAAGUCUCUCAUUAUUAUAACGUUUAAGCUUAUAUAACAAUAAUCAAUACCUGAUCCGAAUCUCAAGACCUUGGAGGUGUGAAGAAUGACGUACCGGCGAUGAAGGAGUUGAGUUGAGCCGGGUAAAGCGAAGAAGGAUCAAGCAUUAAUCCGUUACUAUUGUUACCGGCCACCGUUUUCGUGGCGGUCUCCUCCACGUUGGUGGUGGUUGCAGUGGAAGCAAGGAGGUUAAGGUGAUGAUGAUGAUGAUCUUGAUCUGGUCCUUGGUCAUAGAGAAUGCCUUUGAAGACAUGUCCUCCAAUGUUUACAGCCGUCUGGUAAGCAUACUCUUGAUCAUCUUCAUCCUCUUCUAUUGAGCUCACUCGAACACACCGGAAAACUGCCGGUGAGUUAACCUCCGGUGGCAAGUGUUGGCUCACCUCCAACCCUAAAAUGAUCAUAUAUAAGAAUAACAAAAAAAAUAAACAUAAGAUUUGUUUUUAGUUUCUUUAAAUAACUUGUUCUUGAUUAUAAAGCGUAAUUCCCAUCACCUAUGUAAUAAAAAGAACGAAUCUUUAAGUAUUUAUUGCAUUGUGUUUACAUGAAAUCGAUCUUGAAUAAACCCUUUUAUGUCGUCAGGUUUACUAAGGAACAGUAACUUGUAUAAAUAAAGCAGCAAUAUCCGGCGGACAUCCUCAUUCACACGCAAAUGAUGUUGUACUUCUCCACAAACAUUCAUAAUUAAAACUUUGACACUUUUUCAUGAAAAUUCAAUCAAUCUUGAAAGCUAAUUCAAUUCUAAAAAAACACACACCAUGAUCGAAUUUUACCUGAAUUAGAAUUAGUAUUCACCACACGAGUAUUAGCAAGAGCCGAUCCACCACCACCACUAUGGUCCUUAUCAUCAUUAUUAUUAUUAUCACCACCACUAGCUUCUCGAAGGCGUUUAGUGUUUUGCGUUUCACGGCUGGAGGUAGAGUGGUGCUGCAACGAAGCGAGUUGGGCUAGACGCUCACGGCGUUUAGCAGCAGGAACCCAAGUGCUCUUAACGUGAGUUUGACAGUGAAAGCCUCGGCUUUUACAACAAGUUCUACAUCUCAUAUGAGGACAAUCUUUCUUAGCUUGAUUCCCACAAUCUUGACAAUUCAUACCUCCUUGUCUCGUCACCGUGAACCCUCCCGGCUCAUGAUCGGAGACUACGUUGAAGUAUAAACUCCGGCUGCGGCUAUUGUUGUUGUUGCUGCUGCUUCCGCUAGGAACCAUUCCAAAGGAGUAGAAGUUCGCAGGAGCUGAGGCAUGUUGUUGCUGUUGUGGUUGUUCUUGUUGUUGGAAGUAUUGCGGAGGCCAAAUCUCGAAACCCUUGUUGUUGUUAUAGAUCUCGUCUUUGUAAAGAUAAAGAUAGUUCUUGUCUUGAUGAUGAUCUUGCUUGCUGUUGUUGUCUCUCCCUCCUAGAUAAAAGAAUCCUGCCAUUUUUUUCCCUAGUGAUAAACCACAUCACACACACAACACACCACAAAGAGAGAAACAAAGAAAAGGGCAAAUCUUGAUUUGAUUUUCCUUUUCUUUGCUUUGAGAUAUAUUGAUGGUAUAAAAGAUGAGGAAAGAUUAGGAAACUGCAAACGCCGCCAUGGAAUUAGUCUCUCUUCAUCAUUUAAGACAAAACACAAUUUUGAUCUCUGAAAGUGGAAGUUUGCUGGAUUUACUCAGUGGUUCAAGAGAGAGAGAGAGAGAAAGAGAAAAGGUUUUUAAGACAUAGAGAGUCCCAUGAAGAUCUUUUGCUUUGGGCACUUCACUACAGUUAUCUUCCAGUUUGAACGAAUCCCCAUCACAUAAAUAUCACUCACAAUAUUGUUUAAAAGAAAGAGAGAAAAAAAAAAAGAAUAUGGAUAAAUAGAGAGAUAUAGGUGACAUUAUUUUAAGUAAUUUUUCUUAGAGUAAUCAUUCCAUUCCAUUCCAUUAAUACCGUAAUACGUAUACUUAUUCUCUACAUUUUAUUCAUCCGUAUAUAUAUUUAUUCAUAAUCCCUUAUUACACAAUCUAAAAUACAUGCAAGAUGCUGAUGAUGGAAACUAAAUGACGCUUUUUUUUCUUUACUAUAUAUAGAACUCUCGUAAUUAUGUAUAUACUCAAUAGUUUUACGAUUCAAGACAGUAUGAAUGAAAUUAUGGUCUUAUACUAAAACUAUUCGUAUCGGAAUUAAAAUUAAAAUAAUGAUUUAUAUUCAUUUGAACAAAAUAUUGUAGUUCUAUUCUGUUAAUCAAAGAAACAAACUUUGAUAAGUUAUAUAUUUAACUCAUAGUGUUAGUUUUUUUAAAUAUAUCAAUGGUAAUUACAGUGCCACGUGUUAGAACAGGGAGUUCUAACUCCACUCGCCCCUCCCCCGCGAAACCCUCCCCACCGUUUGUUUUAUCUUUUCUUUCUCAUUUCAAUUUGUUUUUCUUUGUGAUGCAUGAAACCAUACAUUAAAGGGAAGUCUGAGAAAACAAAAAAAGAAAAGAAAAAAAAAAGUUUGAGAAAAAGGAAAAGAUAAAUGAAGUCUGAGGAAAAAAAAGGAAAGACUAACGUCACAUUGCUUUGACAUUUUAUCGUCACGGACAGGUCUCAUCGUGAAGGCUUACCGCUUAAUCACGGCGAUUAGACCUUCAUUGACAUAACUUUUUCAACGACGCCUACGUGCGGUAAUUUCAUUUUUUUUUUGUUUUAUUCGUCUAAACAGUACUACUACGUGGCAUUAAUAUUGAAUUACUUCUUUUUUUUUUUUAAUUCAUCCAUAUUUUGUUUUCAGCUUAAAAUGGAAAUAAAAACUCAUAAAUGUGUUAACGAGAGGAAUCGUAAAACUAACACUUUUUUUGAAUAUGAACUAUAAAGAAAAAUACGUGCUAUAUAUGUUUAGGGAUUUGUUUUGGCUGGACAGCGAUCCCUAGUCUAGGUCUAGGUCACGAGUCAUUAUUAUUAGCCGAUGAAGGUAUGUGAUCUUCUUCCAUCUUUACCCAAACUAAUACCAUGAAUAUGAUGUAUUCUUUUCUGUAUUUAGAAAUCUUUAGUAGCUCAUUCAAUUACAAAGUUGAAAAACUUAGCUUUCACGUUAAUACUUCCAACAUUUUGGAAAAUGUAUAAGUACAAAGGAUAUGAGGGUUAUUUAGUUCUUCUCUACAAAUUAAAAUUUUGCCUAUGCAUAAUUCAUCAAUAUAUAAGAUGUGCACACACAUGAUGUAAACAAUAGACAUGACAAUGUUAAGAGUAAAACCGUUAGUGGUUUAUCUGAAAACAAGCUACCAUUAAAUACACCUCUUAAUUAAUUAAAGAUAUUAUACGAGUACGUAAUUGGUUAUAUAUACACAUUCUAUGAGUUUAAAAAAAUUUAAGAUUUACUUAUUCAGUCAUACCUUUGUACCAUCGUUAGAGCCGAAGCAAGCAGACCCACUCUAGUGUCUCUGGUCACGUGGAACCGCGUGAAUUAGCGGCGCAAUUUGCAUUUGAUAAUGAUAGUUUAGCGCAUUUGGUAUUACUAUAUUAAAUGCUUUAAAUUUUUUUUAUGUAUUUUUGAUGGUUGGCAUUUUAAAUUACAUAUCCUAUAUAGUAUUGUUCAUGUAUAAUCAAUAUACAGUAUAUGGUUUGUCCUUUUUCAACGUUUGUAAUCGACGACCAACCCACAUACUUAAAACUCUCCAUAGUACUCGCAUUAGUUCGGAUCACAUUGAUCCUUAUUGAUGUCAUCUCGUCAAAUCUUAUGACUAUAUUGUAAUUUGCUGAAAAAUCAAGAGUCUGGACCCAAUAGUCUAAAUUCUACAAAGUAGACCCACUCGGUGAUGGAUAAUUCAUGCCAGAAUUGAACAUUAUAGAUGAUGUAUUGUUAAAUCAUAAUAAUAGUCAUUUUAUUUGUUAAAUGUAGUUAUAAAUAUUUUAUAUAUUAAACCAGCUAUAUUUGAUCAAUAUUUGUUAAAAAUUAGUAUAAAUCUUUUUGAAUCUUUCUUCCACUUUGUCUUGCCAAUCGUUGACGAAUUCUCAUGCAUGUUCAUAAUAAGCAGGUCACGAGAUUGAGAUUUGACUUCUCAAUUCUCAUAGCUAGAUUUGAUCAAAUCUUCGGUAUCCACUGGCCAAUUAAUACACAACCAAUUUCACAAGAUAAAGAUAUUACCUAUAUACCUGCGUAGCGUAGUAAUCCUCGAACAUGAAGUAUGCAAGUUGUAAGGAUUUGCGUAUUUGCUUUUGUUUUAGUGAGAAAAUACGAGCAUGCUUUUUUUACGAACGGAGCAGUUACUUCGAAAUCUUGGUUGCAAAAUAAUUUUGUUCACUUUAGAAAAAAAAGAAAAAGAAGAAGCAUAUUUAUUGGAUUCGGAGAAACAAAAGUAGAAGGAGAAGACGAUGUGAGUUUUCUUGGAAGGUUGUUUAGAGCUUUUACCAAAAAUCACUAAGGGCAACAUUAUUGGUGGGAUCUUA